AAGCACAUCUAUCCAUUGAAAUGGAUUUGAAAUGAAAUUAAAAUAGCAAGGUUAAAACAAAUAUUGGUUAAAUUCGGUGUUGAUGAAAAGUGUUAAGUUAAAGCAAGUUGUCAAAAGAUUUUUAGCGAGAAUAUGUCUUACAUUGUUAGGAAAUAUCUAAUAAGUUGUGUGAAGUGGUUAUAAAAUAUUUUAUCGAUGAUAAAUAAAACCGAUGAAGCAAAAUAACUUUCGAUGGAAGAUUAAGAAGUAAGGAAUAAGUAUGUUAGUGUUGCUGACCGUAUCUAAAUACAAAGGCAAGUACAAGACGAGUAUAACGCGAGUACCGAUUUCUUUUUCCACAAGAUAAUGGACAAGAAAAAUUGUAGGAAAAACGUUUUAUGGUGUCAAUGCAGUUUACGACCUUUUAUAGAGGUGAAAGGGACACCCUAUGUUAAGCUUUAAGCUCAAGGUAGAAACAACGUAGAGCUGAAUCAUAGCACAGUAAUAAGGUCUCACAUAUAGGUUAAACCUCUGUGUCUCCUCCUAAGUCGAGUCUAGAAUGUCCGCUAACGGUAUCCAAGUGAUUACUUAGUCGCGACUCAUCUACCUCCUUACGCGAUGCUCUAAUUCUCAUUCGUGUCGGUAUCGAAACGCUUUUUCCUAGUUGUAACUCUAGUACGAAGACGUUGAAGAGGUAUUGAGGAACAAUUGGUAUAGGUUUCGACUUAAAAUUAUUAUUAAUGUAUAUCUACCUACUAACCAUACAUCUAAAGUCAUUAGCUACUGAGGAAUACCCAUUCUCAGUACUAAGUGCAUUGCUCCUAGAGUGGCUAGUGAUAUAACCUAAGUGGUUAACCUAGCACUCUAUAAGGGGUAAAAAUAUUUCUAAAUAAAGGCAUUGUGGUAAAAGUGCACUUAGUUUCUAAGUGUAUCUAGAUGAAUACAUAUGACAUGCAAUGCCCGUACGCACACCGAAAAAGUUUGUUUUUCAAAAGCUCAAGCUGAAAAUCGUUUUGAAGAUAAUUCUACUUUAACCAUUUCAAGCCUCGCAUUAAGUUUCCUUAAUUAAGCAUAGUUUACCAGGCUAUACUUAAUUAAAGUCUAAUAAUGCAUACUAGAAUUAGUUAUACUAGUAGUAUGUUCAGUAUUUUAAAAAUGUUUUGAAAUUUUUUGGCUAUAGUUGUGGUUCUCCAAAGGAAAACCGGUAUUCUCUAUAAGCUUCGGCUCUGAUACCAUUUCUGUCACACCCCACUAAAGUGGAAAUACAGGGCGUGGCGGUACAAAGGGUUUCAUAGCAAAACAUAAGACAACACCAACCAUAAUAUUAAAAAGCAUUACAAAUUUACAAUUGGUUUGAACAACUUUAAGAAAACAAAUUACAAUGUGAAUUUAAAUACAACACGUGUGCAUGCUCCUAAAAGUGACGUGUCUCUAUGUGCCUCUUACAAGAUGAUUCCUGAAAAAGCAUGUAAAACAAGCGUCAACUAUAAAAAUAGUUGGUGAGUACUCACAGAUUUAAAAAUAAUAUUAGUUUCAUGAACUGAACUCAAUGUUCUGAUAAGAGUUUCCAUAAAUGAAAAUAUAUUCCAAAAAUGAGUAAACAAGUUUGCAUAAACAAAGUUUGUUGUCAUCAUCAGAAAUGAAGUAUGUUGCCCAAAUCAGAUGUAACGUUCAUAUUCUCAUGGAAAAUAAAGUUUCCAUAAAUAGAAAUAUAUUGAAAAUAUGAGUAAAUAAGUUUGCGUAAACAAAGUUUGUUGCAUCAUGAGAAAUGAAGUAUGUUGCCCAAAUGAGAUGUAAUGUUCAUAUUCUCAUGGGAAAUAAAGUUUCGAUAAAUAGAAAUAUAUUGCAAAUAUGAGUAAAUAAGUUUGCGUAAACAAAGUUUGUUGUCAUCAUGAGAAAUGAAGUAUGUUGCCCAAAUGAGAUGCAACGUUUAUAUUCUCAUGGGAAAUAAUGUUUCCAUAAAUAGAAAUAUAUUGCAAAAACGAGUAAAUAUGUUUGCAUAACCAAAGUUCGUUGUCAUUGUGAGAGAUAAAGUAUGUUGCCCAAAUGAGAUGCAAUGUUAAUAUUCUCAAGGGAAAUAAAGAUUCCAUAAAUAGAAAUAUAUCGCAAAAAAAUGAGUAAACAAGUUUGCAUAAACAAUGUUCGUUGUCGUCCUGAGAGAUAAAGUAUGUUGCCCAAAUGAGAUGCAACGUUCAUAUUCUCAUGGGAUAUAAAGUUUUUUGCUAAAACGAGAUACAAGGUUCGUAUGUGCAUAAUGAUUAAAGCAUGAGUUUACAACCAAAGCCAAAUGACCGAGGGUGCCCUCUUCUAUGUCUAUCACUAACAUAGGGAAAUAUGGUAAAAUGCACUCAAGCGAAUCGUGCGAGUGAGGAGUUGUCUACCUCCUAAUAGCGCUAUCCAUAAAAACCAUAGGCUCAAAGGAGUUAAUGAGUUGUGUGAACUGAUUCCAGGGACUUAAACGCGAUAAGGCCUCAUAAAUUAACAAUAACACACACAUACAUAGCAGCAGAUAGCAACCAAGUUUGAUACAAGUCAAAUUAAAUACCACGAACAUAAAUAGUUUAGGACAUGCUUUUCCACACCAAAAGAUAAAAACCGAAAAGAGGGGGAGUCUUGAAUACUCAUAAUAUGCAAAAUAUAUCAACCAAGUUUGAUACAAGUCAAAAUAAAUACAACGAUCAUAAAUAGUUUACGACAUGCUUUUCCACCGCUAAACAUAAAAACGGAAAAUAGGGGGAGUCGUGAAUACUCACAAUGCAUUGAGAUGAUGCAAAUGGUGUCUUGAACUACGUUCCACUUGUACCACUACUGAUUCCUAAAAUAAUGGUAUUCGCUAGUGAGUAUCUAAUCGAAAUCUAACACUAGUAUACUUACUACUACAAUAGAAUUAUGUCAAUAUUAUUUCAAAAUUAAUAUUGAUAACUUACAAACAUAUUUAUGUGAAAAUUAAAUUUUAAUGAAUCAAUUGUUAUAUAAAAAUUUAAAUGGAAAAUUCUCCUUAUUGAAAUUUUAAUAUUUAACAUUUUAAGUGGUGUUCCAAUGAUUAAAUAUUCAAAAACUAAAUCAAUUUGGCUCUAAACUUUCUCAUACUUUGCAUUUCGGUUUUAAAAGUGAAAGACCUUAAGAUAAAUUUUCUUGAAUUUAUGAUUUGUCUAACUAUUUUUUACCGUUUAAUUCCUUGAAUAAUCAUAAUAUCUUGGAAAAUAAGUAAAUUAUCAUGAAAAAUUCUUAUAAUUUUUGUGUAACUGUUUUAGAGUGUAGAUAAUAUGGGAAAAAUAUCGAUAUGUGUUUUCAGAAACUUUAACAAUUUUUUUUUUUGUGUAUUUAUUCUAUAAAAAUAGAAAUAAAUAUAUAAAUGUUUUCAAAAAUUCACCAAACUUUUUUUACAAGUGUUAUUACAUAUACUUAAGCUGGAAAAAAUAUAAAAAUGGAUUUAUAAACUGUUUAACCCACUUUUUAUGAUUUUUAUGCAUUUAAGUGUAUUAAAUCUUGGGAAAAUAGAAGAAACAAAUCAUCAACAAUUUUAUGUAGCACCAUAAUACAUUAUAAGAGUUUCUUGUAAAUUUUCAUGAAUUUGGGAUGAGUAAAACUAUUUUUCUGUUUCUAAUCCAUUAUAAUCACAAAAUUCAUGGAAAAAUAGAUAUUCAUUUUGAAAAAUUCCCAAAAUAUUUUUCUGAAUCUUAAACAUAAGGUAGGAGCUACGGCAAAUAAGAAAUAAUAUGUUUACUUUCCCUAAAGUGGUUUUAUGAUUUAUUGGAGCUAAAUAAAAAGAAAAUUAAUAACCAUAUUAACAGUAACAACAAUUGAUGAAACCGCAUGAGAGUUGUUUAUUAAUUUAAGGGAUCGUCCACAAAUAUUUAUAGAAUUUAAUUACUAGUGUAAGUAUUUUAUAUGCUUUAACACUCUAUUUUCUUAUUAUAUUCAUGUAAAAAUAAAUGAAAUAUAUAUUGAGCUCAAAAUUUCCAGAAUGCAUCUUCAAACAAUUUAAUAACUAUAAAAAAUCUUUUUCUUAUUUUUGAUGUCGAAAACUAUAUUCUAAAGGCUCAAACAAUUAUAGAGAAAACUUGGUUCUUGUGAUUGUGGUAAAGAUUAUUGAUGUUAGUUAGAGAUUUUUUUCAACAUGUUCCAAAGACUUUUGAAUCAAGAUCUUUUUGUACCUCUUAAUAAAUGAUGUUAGGUGCUCAAAUUUAUUUUUUGUAGAUUUUUAGUGAGGAAUAAGACCUUUGAACAUGCAAUAGAAAGCUAGUAUUCACCAAAAGGUGCUGUUUUAGCAACAAUAUUGUAAAAAUUGCUAAAAUUCGAAAUAUUAAAAUUUUCCAGUGAGGUCAGAUGGGUUUGAAAGCUAACUCAAAAUAUUAUAUUUUACAAAAGAGAAUCUCUAAUUUUGGUUAAGAAAUGAGUGAGAUAUGGCAGUUUGAAAUAAGGUUAAGAAAUCUAGCAGAUUGCAUGCAUGAUGAUUGGUUAGAAAAAUGAAUUUUCAUCAUUUCUCUGAGUAAAUUUUUGAAAUAUUUAUUGAAAUCAGGAUAAAAUCAUAUUAUAGUCAUGUUUCUAGAGAUCAAAAGAUUAAAACUUAUCAAAAUGUAUACAUGCAUUUAUGAACAAAAUUUUGCUUCUCAAAAACUCUUAACUUGAGUUUGAUGUUUUAAUCCUUAAAAUAGAUUUUCGCACUAAGAUCAUUAACAUGCAACCUUGUUUAUCUUACAUGCAUGGUGAUAAAACACAUCCAUGAUGUUCUAAAAACCAUUUUAACAAAAAGAAACCAAGUUUGAAGAAGAUGAAGAAGUAGAAGUAAAAUGCACAUGCAUGGCUUAAAUUGUUGUCUUAACAUAGAUUUGAUCAUGGAUUUUCACCAUUUCUAAUACAUGCAACAUGUUUUGGUGAGAAUCUACAAGCAUUAAAAUCAAAUAUUGUUUACAAGAAAAAAGAAUGCCUUAGAACAUCAGGAUAGAAGUGAAAAAGGCUAAAAAAAAUUGAAACUAUUGUUAUGAAUAUUCAAGAUAUGUAUGUUCUUUACCUUAAAUUUAUUUGUGGCUUGAAAAAUCCUUAUGGAUUUCCAUAAUUUCGUGGUUAAGAGGCUGUGGUUGUGGUGUUUGGAGAAAAAAAAAUUAGAGAGAAGGUAGAGAGAGUUUUCUAGAGAGAGAAAGAAGAGAGACGUGUGUAUGUUGGAGAAUGAGAGUGAGAGAGAGAGAGAGAUAUGGGGAGGGAGAGAACGAAUUUUAGGGGAUAAUACCCCUUUCUAAUUCAUUUUCUUUUAUAAAUUUUAAUUUCUUUUAUAAAAUAUCUCAAUUUAUAUAUAAAAUGUGCACUAAAAUCAAGUUUUUAUUCUUAAAACCUUGAUUUUUUGAUUUAUAAAUUAAGGUUAAAUGUUAAUGAGUUAAAUUUUAUUUUCCUUGAAUGCAUUUUCUUAAUUUUAAUUAUUAUUAGAUCAUAAUAUGAGGUUCAUAAGUAUUUUUAUAGAAGUUUUAAGGUUAGAUUUCAUAAAUUUAGGUUUUUAAGGUAUUUAGGGUUUUUGAGAGUUUAUAAAUCUUUAGAUAUGAAAAUCAAUAGAAUCUUUGGGACUUCAAAUUAUCUUAUGUUAUUAUAACUCUUGUAUAGUUAUAAAUAAUGUUUGUAACUUAUUUUAUCGGUUUAUUGGCAUUCUAUGUAGUGGUUUCCUCAUUCAAGUGAAAUUGAGGAAUCAAGUAUACUAGUCAUAGUUUUCAACUUUGACUUAAGUUUCUAUGAGACUUGGACCUAAUUUAUACCACAAGAUCAAGUGCAUGAUGUGUAUAUGGUUCAUCAAAAGGUGAUCGAGUCAAAGAGUGACCCGGAUAUGGAUAGUCCCUACAGUUAAGUAGUUAUAGAAUUCACAUAUCAAUGUGAAAUCUAAGUAGAUUAUCCGUUGUUUCUAAUUGUUUUCAAGUUUCUAUUAGGUUAUAACUUAGCUUCUAGUUACUAAGUAUAGUAAGUGUUAGGCCUAUACGUGCAACUAAGUUUCUCAAUUCUAGAACCGACUCGAAUUUUGAAGGUUGUCACAGUCUCCCCCGGUUGAAAGAAUUUUUCCCGAAAUUCAAUUUUGGACGUAUUCUAUUAGAACUCAGCCGACUACAAUUGUAUAGUUGGAGAGGUUAUGACAUGAAUAGCUCUUUGAUUAUUUUGGGUUAAUUCCUCAAUGGAAGAGCCCAAUUCUUUAGCUAUAAUCAAAUUAGCGUUUCCUUAAUUCGAGUUCUACAGUCUAGAUUGUGGGAAAUUAGGAUAUGGAAAUCAUGAUCCAACCAUGGCGACCUAGUAGAAAAAGAUCAUGUAGUUAGAUAUUAUCUGACUUAAAAGAGCGCUAUAAGUUUUGCUGAAGCACCAAAUCAACUGAGCGUUAAAUCCACAUUGAUCCUUAAGAUGAAUUCUAAAUUAGCACUAAGUGUAAAUUCAGCGCCUAAUAAAGAAGAUAUUAGGAACAAUUAGUUCACUUCCGGGUUAGCUACUACAUCUGGAAAGAUAUAUUCCCAAAUAAUAAGGGGUAGCACGAAUGAAAGGGAAGUGAUCGAGGGAAUGUUCCUAAAAUACAUACUAAGGGUAGGAAACGACGUUUUGGUACAUCUCAUAGGUAAAGGCUAUUUAAUGUCGUCUACAAAAUAAAUUACAAAAUGAUUGAGGAUCUAUGUGACUAUAAUUACUACUACGGUUACUCUUACAAUAAUAGAACUAUAUUCGAAGACUAUAUAUAAUUAGAGAGUCAUUGUUUCUAAUGAAGGCGGUGAAAGUUUAUGAUAUUUUAAAUCUCAUUGUGUAGAUAGCAUUUUAAGUGUUUAGAAGUGAUAAAAUCUCAUUGUCAUCAAAAUGUGUGUUUAGAAAUGAUAAUUAAUCUCACUAUUAUCAAAAUGUGUAAUGAUUCCAAGAUAAUGAAGAUACAUGUGUGGCGAUCAAACGAAGUAGUAAAAUAAUAUAAAGAUUAAUUAAGGUUACAUGUUUAAGUCAUCAAUAAGGGAAUUUAUACAUAAAUAUUUUGAUUACUCUUUUGAAAAAAAUUGUCUAGUUGUUUAAGUUAUGACAAAUUCAAGCUUACGAGUUAGAACAUUUAUGGAAACAAGGUUAUGAGUGUACGAACUCAUUGAAAAAUUACAAAGUAGAAUGUUAUUUUAACAAAUGUGUAAAAAUAUCGAUCAUUGAAAAUAGUGUAUUCUUAAUUUAGUGUUUCUACAAAAUCAAACAUUUAAGGAAUAGAUAAUAGUAAAAUUCAAGACUUUUCAUGUAUUUAAGAAAAGAAGAAACAUAAGAAAACAUAUCCGUCACAUAUAUUUUUCCGGAUAUAGAAAAAUGAUAAGAACGAGGGUAUUCAUCUUGUGUAUUAAUUAUAAGGAAAAAUACAAUGAAAGUUGCAUUUUAAAUCAAGUUUCCGAAUUUAGAGCGAAAGAGAAAAUGUAAAUAAGGAUCACUUGUUUCUAGUAGCUUUCAAAAUAAAAACAAAAUGUAUAUGUGUCACACCCCGAAAACCCAAGGCGAAAACAUUUUCGGGGCGGACUCCACGUUGAGUAUCAAAUCCAAUGUACAUAGUAAGCAAAGUAAACAACGAUUACAUUACAUAUAAAGAUUUUACAUUUGUUUUAAAGUAAAAAGUAUUACAAGUGUGAUACAUAUGUAUAUAUAUAUNUAUAUAUAUAUAUAUAUAUAUAGGCAAAAGUAAGACGUGUCUUCUACGCACUCCGUCUUCGCCAAAAGGAUCAUUGGGUACCUGUCUAAUGCGGACCUGAGAAUACAAGCAGUUUGAAAAUCAGCAUAAAGCUGGUGAGUUCAUAAGCGGUUUUGUUUUCUGAAAAUGUAUUUGUUUCCUUUCUGUUUUCUGAAAAAGUUAUACACCAAGAAAAUCCCAUAUUUUCUUAACGUUGGUUACUAAUCCGAAAUGUAAUGUAAAAGAUGUAUACUGAAAACAUGGUUACUCUUGUGAAUUGUAAAGUUUAGUUAUCUAGUUUGUUACACGAAUCUAGUUAUGUACAAAUGUUACCCCAGGAAAAUCCCAUAUUUUCCUGAAAGUUGAUUACCAAUCUAUAAUGUGAAAGAUGUAUACUGAAAACCUGGUUGUCCUUGUGAAUUGUAUUAGUUUUAACGCGUAUAUAAAACUAAUAUGUACAAAGUAAACCAGUUCCUGAAUCCAUUAUUACUAAAUAGUAAAUCUCUGUUAUCCAAAUUGCGAGUUCCAUAACCAUACAAUAGACUAGAUAUGGCAAUAUGUAGUCCACAUCACCUUAUGACUUUCGCCACCCUUGAACCUUUCGGUUUGGCUGUAGCUAGCAGCCAGGUGUGGGGUAGUCAGUCCCGUAUAGAUCUAUACACUCAAGUCAUGCUCCCUAUCUAAGAGAUUCUGGUUACGGGUGCGGUCCUCCACUCGCAUAUCUCUGUAGAGUGUUCUCCGAGGGCGUGUCUCCAAUUUAUAGGAAUAACAAAUUUACUAGUAAUAACGCAGAAAGAUCAAAUGACGAUCCUCCACUCGCGUAUCUCACUGGAGUGUUACCGAGGACAAAAACAAUAUACUAAGUUUCAUGUUCAAAGUUCAAAUGUUAUGCUUUUAACUAUUAUAUUGUGGAAACCAUUUGUGAAAAAUAUAAAGUAUAACAUUUUAUAAUGCUUUUCACAAAUAAGAUGAUAAUGUGUUCUGCAAGUUCAUAUUGUUAUUAGAUAUGAUUAUCAGUGUUAAAAGCAUAUGUAAUAUGAAACAUAACACAUGUAAAGCAAGUUUUGAGUACAAGUAUUCCUUGUAUGUUGCUUGUAUUCUCCCCCUGAAAACAGUGAAAAACAUUGAAAAAGGGUAGGGGUAUGAACUCACCAGACGAGAAAACGCGACGAUUUGGAUGCUAAAUGUCGGUUCGGGGCUUGUUAACGCGCGAGGUUCCUAUGUAAUUUAUAAUGAUAUACAAAUAUAUCUGAUUAGAAUUUAAUUCACUAAUUAGACAUGAUCAUACACCCAAUUACAAGAAAACACUUCAAAUUAAGUGUUUGGAGUGACCCGGGUGACAUCUACGGAUGUAUAGUGCUUGGAUAAUGUGUUUACUCUUCAAGAGUAAACUCCUCAUGGAGUUUUCGGCCCUAAUACCAACUCCACAUGAUUUCACGGCCGUGAACUCAGUGAUGAGGGUUGUAUGGUGUCAAAUGGUCAAUUAACACUUGAGGGAUGAUGCUAGGUUUGGUUCUAGAGCAUUGAAAAAGGAUUAAACCACCAAAUGGACCACUUAAAGGAGUUUACGGCAGUAAACUAGGAGUUUACCACCGUAAGCUCCCCUAAAUCCAUUUCGUAUACGAUUUGGUGGUGUAAGGUCAAUCACAUGUGAUUUAAACACAUUUUACCAGUAAAGGGGUGAAUUUAGGGCGUCAUUUGACAUGUGUUUAUGAGUUUACGGCCCAGGAACCCAUCCUUGGGGGGUUUACGGCCGUAAGCUCCUAAAGGGAAGGUUUUUUUCAUGCUUAAGGCCCCUAAAUUGAUUUUGGUUGAUUCUAGAAUUUAAUCCAAGGCUAGUGGUAUAUUUAAGUGGCAUUUAAACACUUGAAAUUGAGUUUACUACCCACGAAUAUGAGUUUACGGCCCAAGCAUGUUCUUGGGCUGUAAAAUCAAGUUUACUCCCAAAAAGUUAAGUUUAAGGUAUUCUAAGUCCAUUCCAUUAAGCCAUCUAGCGAUAUCUGAGCUCCAAAGGUUGAUUAGAAGGGUCUUUGGGCUCCAAAACCCAUUUUAUAUUAGUUCACGGCCUAGGACUGUUCUAGGGCCGUAAACUCAUGAUAAUGGUCCUAUUCCAUAGUUUGACCACGAAUUUGGAAGCUAGAGAGGUUGUACAACAAGUUAGGAAGGUUACCUUGAUGAAAUGGAGCUUUAAUAUGAUGAUUUUGGACAUUAAGUUUGGAUUGAGGAGAAAGGUUAGAGAGAGAGUAGUGAGAGAGUACAAAAGCUUCAAAUGGAAGCUUAAUUCACUUUAAAUAUGUUCCAAGUUCGGGACACGGUGGAAUUCUACCCGAUACUGACGUUAGACGUGGCUUUUGGUCGCACCCGAUUAAGUUGUCGUAACCCGAUAUUGUCGAUUCUAAAAAUUUUCCGGUUACUAAUAUGGGGUGAUAAUAUGAGUUCUAAACGCGUUAGGACACCCAUUAAGUCAUAGUAGAAAUCCCACAUUUAUGACUUAACUUAAUGACGUAAACGGAAGUGAAAUUCGAAAAAAGAUGCGAAUACUUCUGCUUCAUCGAGUCUUCACGCUCCCAAGUGAAUUCCAGUCCCCGCUUGGCAUUCUAGCGAACCUUCACUAUCGGGAUGCUACUUUGUUUCGUACGUUUGAUGUCUCGAUCCAUGAUUUCGAUUGGUUCUUCCACGAAGUUCAAUUUUUCGUUGAUCUCAAUCUCAUCUAGAGGAAUCACGAGGGUUUCAUCGGAUAAGUACUUCUUAAGGUUAGAGACAUGGAAGACAGGAUGAAUGUUGCUGAGUUCAUGGGGUAAUCGAAGUUUAUAGGCUACCGGACCGAUCCUGGCAAGGAUCUCGAAGGGUCCAAUGUACCUCGGGUUAAGUUUCCCACGUUUUGCAAAGUGUACCAUGCCUUUCCAGGGCGAGACCUUCAACAUGACACGGUCUCCAACCUGGAAUUCCAGAGGUUUCCGUUGAUUAUCGACAUAACUCUUUUGGCGAUCUCGUGAAGCUUUCAAUCGCUCCCAGAUUUGGAUGAUCUUUUCGGUGGUUUUGCGAAUGAUUUCAGGACCAGUGAGAGCACUGUCAGGGAAUCGACUCUUGGGUAGCUGUGUUUCCCCUACCUCAGCCCAGCAUAGAGGGGAUAUGCACUUGCGACCGUCGAGGGCUUUAAACAAAGCAGCCUUGAUGCUGGUGUGGUAACUGUUGUUGUACGAGAACUCGGUCAAAGGCAAAUGUGUGUCCCACGACUUUCCGAAAUCGAUGACACAUGCUCUAAGCAUGUCUUCCAGAGUUUGGAUAGUUCUCUCACUCUGUCUAUUGGUCUGAGGAUGAUAGGCCGUACUCAUGUCUAGCCUCGUUCCAAGAGCUUUCUGAAGGGACUGCCAAAACCUAGAGGUAAACCUGCUAUCUCGGUCGGAGAUAAUGGACGCAGGUACACCGUGUAGUCAGACUACCUCCUGGAUGUAGAUCCGCGCGAGUCUUUCCAUCUUGAAUGAUUCUUUGAUCUAGAUGAAGUGAGCAGAUUUUGUCAAACGAUCGACAAGUACCCAAAUGGUGUCAUACCCACUCGGACACUUGGGUAACUUGGUGAUGAAGUCCAUGGUAAUCAUUUCCCAUUUCCACUCCGGUAUUUCGGGUUGCUGGAGCAGACCUGAGGGUUUCUGUUACUCAAAUUUCACCUUGGCGAAAUCAAGCACUUGCCCACAAAUGUAGCGAUCUCAACUUUCAUGUUGUGCCACCAGUAUUGUUUCUUAAGAUCCAAGUACAUCUUAUCAGAACUCGGGUGAAUGGAGUAUCUAGUCUUGUGUGCUUCCUCCAUGAAAAUUUCCCUGAAUCCUCCGAACUUAGGGAUCCAGACUCGGUCCAUGAAACAGUUGAAGAGAAUUGUUAUCGAGAAUUGAGAAAAGAAAAGAUAGAUUUGAACGAUUGAAGAUGAAGAACACACAGAGUAAAUAUUAAUCAGAUCUCAUAUUGAUUAAGACUGAUUACAAAAUAAGCAGAAGAUAGAUUUGAGUUUUGACUUCGUGUUUUUCUACUUCUAGCCUUAGUCCCUAUUUAUAGGGAACUUACAAAAAAUAUACUAAGUCUAUACAUUUUCACUUCGCAUACAAAAUCACUUAGUAAAAUAACAUAAAAUGCGAAACAAUACAAUACACUAUUUUCGAAUUUUUACAAUUUACAUCUACAUUCUCCCCCUUUGUAAACAGUCGAUGCAAUUCAACUCAAAAGCUUUUGAAUUGCAGAGUGAAUUGUCCUUCGCACUUCUCCAUACCAGGAGAUCACCUUCUUCAGAUCUUUCUUGUCUCCUUCGUUAUUCUUCUUGUAGUUAUUCAUACGUACAAUGAAGUGCGUAUAUUGCGAAGAAUUAUAUCUUUCAAUCUCUGAGACUUUGAACAUAAAUUUCUUCGGUUUUCCUUUUGUAUGUAUUCCCGAAAACACCAUGCCAAAUGGUUUCAGGCAUAUCUCACCAACAACAUACUUCGACAAAGCAGAUUGUGUCAAAGUAUCCUCCCAUGGAACUUUUACUUCUCUUCCCAGCACAUUCGCUAAUUCUUCAUCUGUAAGAGCCAAACAAUCGAAAUAGUUAUCGAUGUAUGUCUUCACGUGAGCGAAUCCAACCUUGAACACAUCUGUCUCAGAGCCUUUGAGAUUGUUUUCUUCCAUAUGCUUCAGGAUCAGAGCUACUUGAAUUAAAUCGUUGCAGUUCAUCAAUGGAAAAUCAGCUAUUGUGAAGUCAUAUUGUUUGUUGUCAGCUCUGAUAACAAAAUAUCGAAAAUUUUGAAGCAUGUCUUCAAACAAAACAUCCUUCUUUAUUGUCAGCAACUUUUUGAUCUUCAUCAACGACCAAACUUCAUUUGGAUUCUUCCCCAAGACAGCAUGAAAUCUGAUUUUCAUAUGAGUAUAAUCAUCCGGAUUAUCAAAUUUCUCACUGAUCUUGUAUUGAGCUGUGAUGAACAACAUCUCAUUUAUUGGGAAAUCCAAUUGACAAUGAUCUGAGUUCGCAAUAUCAUAACUUCUUUUCGGCUUCUUCUCAAACUCAUACAUCUCCCUUCCUACAACUUUCGACUCUAUUGUUUCAUAAGAGUAAAGUUUCGUAGGAUCUCCUUUGUUCAUGGAGGGAGGAUCACUUGCCCUUUGUCUCAUGAUGCUUUGAACUUGUCUCAUCCUCUCCAACUCAGCCUCUGCAUCAGCUUUCAACUCCUCCUUCGACUUUUCAUACAAUAUUCCUUUUCCUUUUCCUAUCACAUCUUUCUGAGGUUUUGAGCUUGAACCUCCUUCGUUUUCUCCAAUAACAAUACCCUUGGAAACUGUUUUUGUGGUAAUUGUAGUUGAAGAAAUCGGUUUCGUAGGAAUAGGAAGAGUAGCUACAAGCUGAGUCGAUAUCACUUUUACCACUGUUUUUGCCUUCUCUUCUUUACUUCGACUUUUCUCUCCCCCUUGCACCCCUGUGAAAACAGGUGGAGCACUCUUCGGUAGUAAAGAAGUGAAAUUCGUAAGUGGAGCAAGAGCUUUUUGAAUAGCUUGUUCUAAAGUAUUAAUCUUUAGAGACAAAAAUUCAGGAUUAAGGAUUUGUGAUGAAGAAGAAUUCGAAACUGUUGAUUUAAGCUCAGUGACCAACUUUAUCAGUUGAUCAAACUUCUCCGUUGUUGCGGCUUGAUGAGUUUCAAGAACAAGAAUAUCAUUGAGCUUUGGGAGUUGAGAAGAAAUCUCCACAAUUUGCUUUUGAAGAUAUGCUUGUUUUGUAUGAACAUCCUGAAGAUCCUUCGCAAGUUCAGACUUCAACUCCUGAAUCUUGAAGUUUACAUCCUCACGAACUUUCUUGACAUCUUGAAUAAAAAGAAGGUGACGUUCUUUUGUAGCAGCUUUGAGAUGUUGAACAGCAGAAGUAAAAUUGUUCCCUUGUGCUUUAACUCUGAGCUCAUUAUUUUUAUCGGAUUGAUCAACCUUCUCCAUGAUCCGUUUCUCAGCUCCUUUUAUCAUAACAUCAACCUCCAUAGCUGAUAUCGAAGACAUUCUACCAGAAUCGGCUUGCGAUUGGAUAAUGGCCUUUAACUUUUGAUUCAGAAUUUUAAACUGUUUUCCUGUCAUCAGCAUAUGAUCAGGAAUAUCUUCUUCGUCUGAAUCAAAAUGAAUGUCAUCAAGUAUUCCUCCAAAGGCACCUCCUUUGACUUCAGUAUCAGACAAUUGUUGCGAAGGUGGAGGAUUUUCGGGUGAUUGGGAUAGAAAAAGUGUUGUGAAUGGGUUUUGAAGGGCAUGAUCAAAUAUGGAUGAAGUGGUGGAUAAAGUGGUAAUAGGUAAUGAAAUGGGUAAAGAUGUUUGAAUUGUUGGUGCAACACUUAGGAUCGGUGCUCCCGUAUCAGAUACGUUGACAACCGUAUCGGAAAUAGGUACCUCCUCAGAAACUGAUUUGGUAAGAACUAUUUCGAGUGGGUUGGUUUGUGGAAUGGUGGUAGAAAUUUGCGAAGUUUGAAUUAUUGGUAAAGAGACAUUUACCAUAGAAGUGACAGGUGGAGUUUCCGGAACUACUUCUUCAUCAGAUGAUUCAUUGCGAAUCACCAUCUUUCUCCGUUUGACAAGCGUGCGUUGCAUGUUUUUGGCAACAUCUUCAGCCCGUUGUCUUUUCUUUCUUGGAGACACCGGUGCGGGAAUACUGCGAAUAGUAACUCCUUUACUACUCACUUCCACUUUGCGAAUUUGCUUCAGAACCCCAGACUUAGAAGGUAAGGGUUCCUUCUUCGAUUUGGAUAAAGUUUCUUCGGUUGGAAUAGCUUCAUCUUGUAUUGUUGGGGAGGAUGAACCAUUCGCAGUUUUCUUGUUAACUUUCUUUUUCUUCGAUGGAGUAGCAACAUCCGGUAAUACUCCAGUUUGAUCAGCUGUAUCAAUGUUUCACAAAUAUCUCACCAAAACUUUGUGAGUUGGAGAAACUUUGCGAAGCAUCGCAUCCAGAAUACGAGCCACACGAGAAAAAAUGGCCUCAUCAUCUUCUACAACUUUUGGAAAUUAAUAGAAGGAAAAUUCAGCAACUUCAACAUCUAUCAUCACUGGAAUUGCUUCUUUCUCAUAGACUUUUUCCAGGAUUAAGCUCCAGUAUCUUGCACAAGAAAUCCCCUUCUCCGAAUUUGUAUUUUCCAAGCUUUUAACAAAUUCCUUCCACAGCUGAGUUGCAUAAUCAACAUUGAUGUCAUAGUAUAUGCCCAUUACCAUAGCAUAUACUUCGACUCUUCCUCUAUCCAAUCCGACUGAUCUUCCUGUAAGACACCGUAGAAAAAUACCAAAAAGAAAAUUCCAGAUACAUGGCAAUCCAGACUUCCUGAAGUCACUUAUUUUCUCUAAGUCCGGUUGAUGCCCCAUCUCAUUGAACAUAUGAAUGAUCUGCAAGUUGACAAGUUUGAAAAAUGGAGGGUUGUUUGGAAUCUUCAAGAUUUCCACAAACAAGUUCUUGGACAGUUUAACCCGUUUGUUUUUGGUUAGAUUGAAAGUAAUCACAUCCGUCAUGUGAUUGUAUGAUGCUGUUGAAGCUGCACGAGAUAACCACACCAUAGGAACAGAGAAUGAACUGAACAUGGCAGUUGAUAAAGGUGAUCGUUUCAAUGCAACGAUAAGCAUCUUCAAUUCUUUUGGAUAAUCUGAAACAUUUGGAUCAACUUGGUAAUUGGUGCUUUGAAUCUUCAUCAGUGAUUGAGAAAGAACCUCAUCAGUGUUGGAAUUAGUGCCUGCCAUUGUUAGGGUUUGAAGAAAGAAAGUUGAAGUUUGGAUCAAGGUUUAAUCUUUGAAGUUUUGUGAGAGUUAUUGUUUGCGUAACCGUACAUAAUGUUCUUGAUCCCCCUUUUAUAGGUUACUCAAAAUUGAUUUGAAAUUAAAGCGGGAUACAUUUAAUGUUAUCCGAUGUGGCACCUUGAAACUCGGAUCAUGACUGCAAAAGAUAACUAUGUUUCAAAAAGUAACUGUUACAUCUCCUCGAAAACCGGAUAGUAUACCAACCAUUUUGAGUAUACAGCCUGUCAAGUAUCCGUUAUAAAAUUCGAACCGGUAAAACCCUUCGCAUGGAAGCAAGGCUCAUUCACUUUUAGGAUUUAAAGUGAAGUCAUAUGCCAGACUUGCGAAAUCAUCAGUUUGAGUUGGUUUUACUCAGAACCUCAAGGAUUUCAUGUGUGCAUUGUGUCAAUCGAAAUAAGAUAAGAAACAAGAAAUUUUGGAAUGUUGUGAUGUCAAAAAUUUAAUUUGACAUGAAUGCAGUAAAACCCCAGGCAAAGGUUGCUUCGUUAAUCAUCAAGAGAGAUAAUCAACAGCUUGUGUAGUUUCCCGUGAAUUACAAUCGAAUACUUGUAAAGAAGUAUCAAAGGGCUUCUUUUAAAAGUCAUUUUGGAUUGGUUUGAAAUUUCAUUACAUAUCAGCCUUAACAUAAGGUGAGAAAUUGUAAAUGAAAUUACUUGUUUGACCAGUGUAGUCAGUGACAAGUUGGCUUGUGAAAAUAUUUAUCAUGACAAGGAUUUGCGAAUAAAACAUACACUGAAAUCAUAUUCAAAAGAAAAUUUGUUCUGGAUCUUGUUGGGUAACAAACAUUCUUGGUUGUGAAUAUUUGAUCAAGACCACACAUGCGAAUUGAAUAUGAUUUGAAGUUUCGAAAUUUUUUAUACUGAAACAAAGGUUUUGUAAAAAUCUGGAACAAAGUUCCCCGUCAAUUCAUUAAGGUUUAUGAUUUUUGGGUUUCACUUUCAUCAUGGACUCAUGAUGUUAGAUCAUAAACUCAGAGUGGUGAUUUGUCUAGGUUUUGAUUGGUUUGAUCAAAAACCUCAAGGACAAAUAUCUUCAAAAAAAAUUUGGAGUGUAAGAAUUGUUUGGUUUAAAAAGAUUGGAUAAGAAUCGAAGUGUACCUCUGUUAUAAUGACCAAAACAGAAAACUCUUAACUCAUUUGAUAAGAGUAAGGUAGCUCGUUUUGACUUAUGCGAAUAUAAGCCUUUUUGGGAAGAAAUUUUCAUGAGAUAAUUUCAUUAAGGCUUUCUUUUCACACAUAGAGUCGUGUUGAGGCUUUUGCUCUACAUACAACAGCAUGCUUCUAGGGACAUCCUAACUAGUUUGUAAAACAAAUUUAAUACCUUCCCAUAGAAACACAAAUGUAUGACCACUUCGCAUUAUAGCCCUGUAUUAAAUUCUCAGCACACACAGUUUAAAGAACAAAGAAAACAAAAAUAUUUUUGUGAUUUUUGAAUUUUUCAAAAUUAAAGAACAAAAAAAAUAAAAUCUUUUUGUAUUUUUGAUUUUUUAAAAGUAAAAACAAAAAAAAUCUUUUUGUAUUUUUGAUUUUUCAAAAGAAAAGAAAAAACUUUACCGUAGUUGUCAUGAGCUCAAAUGCGAAAAGAUGUGGAUGCGAAACCAUGCGAAGCCUCUAAAUGAACAGUAACCUCUGAAUGAUGUUGACUCUUAUCUAGUGAACAAAACUUUUAGUCUUGUGUUGAUGAAAUUAAAUUCGCAUUAAUCAUCCCCAAACCUGCUAAAAUUCUAACAAAUGAUUUUUCAUCAAGAGGUUUUGUAAAAAUAUCAGCAAGUUGUUCAGUUGUUUUGACAAAAUGAAUUUCAAUAUUCCCAUCUUCCACAUGAUCUUUAAUAAAAUGAUAUCGAAGAGCAAUGUGUUUUGUCUUUGAAUGUUGUACUGGAUUGUGACAAAUGCGAAUUGCACUUUGCGAAUCACAAUACAAAGGAAUCUUUUUCAUGUUUAUUGCAUAAUCACGAAGUUGACUCUGAAUCCAGAUAAUUUGCGAAGUACAAGCAGCUGCAGAUAUGUAUUCUGCCUCAGCGGUUGAUAUAGCCACACAAGUCUGUUUCUUUGAUUGCCAGCUCACUAACUUUCCAUCCAAAAGUUGACAUCCACCAGUCGUACUUUUUCUGUCCAAAGUACAUCCUCCUAGAUCUGAGUCUGAAAAAGCUUGAAUGAAGAAUCCUGUUUUCGCAGGAUACCAUAGUCCUAAAGAAACAGUUCCCUUGAGAUAUCGAAAAAUAUUUUUCACUGCAGUCAAAUGAGGCUCUCUUGGAUUAGCUUGAAAUCUAGCACAACAACAAACCGAAAACAUAAUAUCAGGUCUACUUGCAGUUAAGUACAAUAAAGACCCUAUCAUGCUACGAUACAGUGUUAGAUCAACAGCAGGAGCAUCUAACGAAGGAGUUAGUCUUGUUCCUACUGCCAUAGGUACUCUGAGCUUUGUGCUAUUAAGCAUUCCAAACUUUUCAAGCAAGUUCUUCGUAUAUUUUUCUUGAUUGAUUAAGAUUCCUUCCCUGUUCUGUCUUAUAUUUAAACCAAGAAAAUUAUUAAUUUUUUUCCAUCAUGCUCAUUUCAAACUAACUUUUCAUUAAAUUCUCAAAUUCAAUUGACAAUGCUGGAUCAGUUGAACCAAAGAUAAUAUCAUCAACAUAAAUUUGAACAAGCAUUAGAUGACACCCAACUUUCUUGCGAAAUAAUGUGGGGUCAACUGAUCCUUGUUUAAAUUUAGAUUGUUUCAAGAAAUUUGUAAGUGUUGCGUACCAGGCCCUUGGUGCUUGUUUUAACCCAUACACAGCUUUGUCAAGGAUAUACACAUGAUCAGGAUGCUCAUUGUUUACAAAUCCUGGUGGUUGUUCAACAUACACUGUUUCUUCGAGUUUUCCAUUUAAGAAUGCACAUUUAACAUCCAUUUGAUAAACAUCAAAGUCUUUGUGAGCUGCAUAGGCUAAAAAUAUGCGAACUGCUUCAAGUCUUGCAACAGGUGCAAAUGUUUCUUCAUAGUCAAUGCCUUCUUGUUGCGAAUAACCUUUAACUACUAGUCUUGCUUUAUUUCGAAUAAUAUUGCCAUCUUUGUCGGUUUUGUUUUUAAAAAUCCAUUUUAAUCCAACAAUCGAAACAUCAGAAGGUUUAGAAACUAAUCUCCAAACCUUGUUUCGUUCAAAUUCAGCCAAUUCAGAUUGCAUAGCAACAACCCAAUCUGAGUGUUCCAUAGCAUUCUUUACUGUUUUUGGCUCUAUUUUCAAAAUAAAGAUAUUAAACAUACAAAGUUCUUUGUUUGCAUUCAGUACCUCAUUUUUCGCACGAAGUUGUGCUCUAGUCAACACAUCUUCUUGUGGAUUACCAAUUACCUGUUCUUUUGGAUGAUUUCUUGUCCAUUUCUGAAGUGGUGGAAAAUUUGGAUCAAAUUCUAAUGGUGCAUCUUCAUACAUAUCUUCAUUUUCAGAUCCUGCAACAGAAAAGUUAUCAUUAAAUUCAUGAAAUUCUUCAUUUUUAUCAAGAUUAAUUGUCUCUGUUUCAUCAUGCUCCCCCUCAACAUGAUCUGCAUCUUGAUACUCCCCCUCAAAAUGAUGUUCUUGUUGAUUUUGCGAAUGCUCCCCCUCAACUUGAUGAUUCAUAAUUUCUUUCUCCCCUUCAAAAUUUGGCAAACAAUCUUCAUGAAUACUCGUAUGUUUUGAAGAUUCUGAUGUUUGAUUAUCUGGAGCAUUAUUUUCUGCAUCAAUUGCCCUGUCAGGAAUUCCGAAAAUUAAGUCAUAAUCAAAAUCAUUGAUUUCAGAAUUAUCAAUUUGAGUAUUUGAAUCCACAAGUAUUGGUUUAUUAUCGAAUUUACUAUCAAUUUGUUUAAGAUAGUAAUCAUCAAAUGUUAAAUUGAAAGUUUCUUCAAUUUUUCUUGUUCGUUUAUUUAGCACUCUGUAUGCAACUGAAUUCUGUGAAUAUCCUAAGAAGAUGCCUUCAUCAGCUUUAGCUUGAAACUUGGACAAAUUAUCUUUCAGAUUCAUGAUAAAGCACCUGCAACCAAAAACAUGAAAGAAUUUUACAUUAGGUUUCCGAUUAUUGAUUAUUUCAUAUGGAGUAACAUUAAAUCUUCGAUGAAUGUAUGAUCGAUUCUGAGUAAAACAUGUUGUGGACACAACUUCUGCCCAAAGAUAUUGAGGUAGAUUCGCAUAUGUCAACAUGGUUCUGGCAGCUUCGCAUAGAGAUCGAUUUCUUCUUUCAACUACACCAUUUUGUUGUGGUGUAUAUGGUGAUGAAAAAUUAUGCGAAAUGCCUUUGCUUUUGAGAAAACUGUCAAGAGUUUGAUUUUUAAACUCAGAACCAUUAUCACUUUUAAUUUUUCGUACAUUCUUCUUCAGACUAAUUUCAAUCUUUUUGAUAAAAUCAAUCAUCGUCUGAGCAACUUCAGAUUUCAACCUGAGAAAAAACACCCACGUGAAUCUAGAGAAAUCAUCUACAACAACUAAAAUAUACCGCUUUUUAUUUAUUGUUGCAACAGUUGAUGGUCCACAUAGAUCAAUGUGAAGAAGUUCCAAUGGAUCUACUAUUUUUGAAUCUAUCACAAUCGGAUGACCCUUUCGAUGUUGUUUUCCUUGUUCGCAAGCUGCACACAAAGAAUCAUUGUCAAAUUUUAGUACUGGUAACCCUCGAACUAAAUCUUCAGUUACAAGUUUAUUUAUAUUUCGAAAGUUCAAGUGUGACAAUCUUCUAUGCCAAAGCCAACUAAGAUCAUUGGAUGCUUUUGAUAGUAAACACACAGCUGGUUUUCCCACAAUCGGUUUGAUGUCCAGUGUAAACAUAUCACCAUAUCUUUUGGAUUUGAGGAGUAUUUCAUUCGUCUUGACAUUUGAAAUGAUACUUCCUUCUUCAUUGAAUACAACUUGAUUUCCAGUACCCACAACAAGUUGUGAUACACUUAUCAAAUUAUGUUGAAGUCCUUCAACAUAUGCCACUCUGUUUACUGUGAAGUUUCCAUUUGUGACUUUCCCAUAUCCUUUCACUUGACACUUGUGAUUAUUUCCAAAUUUGACAACUCCAGCAUUUUCCAAGCUUCUGUAAUCUCGCAAAUUUUCUUUUCUUCCAGUCAUGUGACGAGAGCAACCACUAUCAAUGUACCAUUUCAUGUCAUAUUGCUCGUCACAUAUCACCUGCAUUUAUUGAAAAAAUUUAGGAACCCAAGACUUUUUGGGUCCAUCAUUAGUAGAAUGAAACAAAUUUUUGGAAUUUAAGAACCAUGUUUUCACUUUGUUUGUAACUGAAUCAAUUAUAUCAACAUCAUCAGUUCUAGAUUUUGAAAUAUAAUCAUUCAAUAAUUUUGGAUUUCCAUUAAUUGUAAUCUUAUCCUUCACAACAUUCGCAUUUUUGAUAACUGGUUUCCAUUUUUGAACUGGAACUUGCGAAUUAUGAGAUGAUGCACUUUCAAUUGAAGAAUUAUUUGUGUACUUAUCAAAUGCACUUUUGAUUUGUUCUUCUGAAAAUUUUCCACUUUGAUAUUUCUUUCCUUUUCCUUCAAACCAAUGAUUGAACGUUCUAACAUCAGAUUUUCCUUUUGUAUAUGAAACUUUGUUUGGUUUUGAUAUUGAAGGAUUUGGAAAAUUUGGUUGUUUUGGUGAAAAUUUCUUUUUGACUUGAGUUGAGUUCUUCAAACUUGAGGAAGUAUUCGUGAAUUUGCCAACAUUUUGAAACUUUUGAUUAUUUGCAAAUUUUUGCGAAUUCUCAAAUUUUCGAUUGUUGUCAUAUUUGCGAACAUAUGGAACCUUGUCAACAGAGUUGAUUUGUUUAUGAAAACUUGAUGAUGUUUUUGAAAUUUGCUCUUUUUCAUCUCUUGAUUUUUCAUUAGACACAACUUGCCAGAAUAUUGCUUUUCUUGCUUUUCUUUUUGAAACAUUAUUUUCUGUUGAAAAAUUUCCAACCAUCAAUUUGAAUUCAUGAGAGUUUAGUUUCACUUCAACCUUUGGUUUUUCAUCUUUUUCAAAAACUUUGUUUGAUUUUUCACCUUUAACCACCCAUUUUUGUGUUGAUUUUUGUUUUUGAAACACAUAAGGAUUUUUGGUUAAAUUGUUUUCUUCUGUGCUUUGAUUUGCGAAAAAACCUUCAGUUGUGGACUUUUGAUUAUCUUUUUCAAUCAUUUUAUUAAAAUCAGGAUGAACUUUCUCAGCAUUUCCAGUAGUGACAAAAACUUGAUUUGGAAAAAUUGUUUUAUCAGUACAUACAAAAUUUGGAUAUACCACAGUGUUGGUUUCCAAAUAAUGUGCGCCUUUAUCAUUUAAAAUUUUAUCAAAUUCUUUUGUAUUUUCAAACACUUGAUCAACUACAAUCCUUUGAGGUGUUUCAGUUGAAACUUUCUUUUCUUCUUUAUUUACAUCUGUGUCAUCAGAUUUCCAGCUUUCAACUUCCACAUUAUCAAACUUACAAUGUUGCGAAGUUGAAGGUUUAUCAAUUUCAUCCUCUACUAUUGAAUCAACUAUUAUUUCUUUACCUUUGAUCUUAGAUGUGAUAUUAAUGAUUGACAAUUGAGAACAAUCAACCUCUUCUUCCUCUUCUAUCUCACUGAUUUCACUCACAUUAUCAGAAUUUUCAUCAAUAUCAGCAUAAUUGAAUUGUGAGGCAAGAUUUGAAUUUUCAUUUUUCUUUAUGAUUUUCACUUGUUCACUCUUUGUUAAACUUUCAUUGACAAUGUUAACCAACUCAUCAACAUUCAGAAAUUCAUCAAUUUGACAAUACCANCCAUAUGAAUAUCUAUCAUCAGGUAUUUUGUCAAAUUGAGCAAUUGUACUUUCGCAAUCAUAAGAAACAACAUCAACUUUUUUACGUCCAUACUCAAGAAAAGGUAAAAGUUUCCUAUGUUGUUCUUCGCUAAUAUCAGAAGAAUGAUGUAAAGCUGCUAAUUUUGCAUACAGUCGUUUUGCAGAAUUACAAUAUGUGUUUCUUUAUGCUAGCAAUAACCUGACAUCAUUAGUAAGAUUAUUCCUAUCACAAUCUAUAUUUUUGACUUGCAUUUCCAAUUUUUCAACUCUGCUCUUCUUUAUUUCUAAAUCUCUUCAUGUCUCACUAAGUUGCAAAUUUAAUUUCUUAGCUUCAUUACUAGCAGACACAAUAACAGAAUCAAAAUAAGCCACAGUAUCAUCAAAUGAAACAAUUUCAGCAUCAUAAGCAGAUAAAGGAAUAUUAAAAGAUUCAAGAAUUGCACGUACCUUGGUUGUCAUGGGUGACAUGUCAGUGGAUUUAGACACAAAACAUAUCCCUGAAAUGUUCUCUUCGCAAUCCUCAAAACUUGCGAACAUUGCUCCAUGUGUGGGAUGCCUCAUUUCCUCAUCAUCAGAUCCUGAAGACCAGAUCUGAUAAGUUCCACUUUCUUCUUCAGCAGAUUCUCCCUUAGCAACUAAAGACACUCCUUUGGUCUUAGCACGUAAUUCUUCAAUCUUUUCGGAGUAGUAUGCUUCAUCUUUAACUUUUUCUUUCUUCUCUUCUUUCUUUCGCAACAUGCAAUCGGCUGCGAAAUGAUUCGCACCAUUGCAAUAGUGACAGUAAAUUCCUGAAUCACCCUUCAACUGUUUCUCUUCAUCGCAUUUUUCUGUUUUUCAUCUAUUUUCUCCAUUUUCUUUCUCUCCUCCCCUCCAGUUCUUGUGACAACAUUUUUCGAAUCACUAUUCUUUCCUUUUGGAUUAAAAGGCUUUUUGAAAAACUUCUUAACUCUGUUGUUUGAAUAGAAUGCUACAGCUUCAUCAUCGGAGUUCAUCAACAAUCCUUCUUCCUCUGAACCAUCUUUUUCAUCAGUUUCUGAUAUCUUUGAAACAAGAGCCAAAGGACCACCAAUAGCUAGUUUUGAUUCUUCAUACCUUUCUGAGACCUCACAUUCAGGUGUUUUCAGUUGAUUGUAGAGAUCAUUCAAUUUAGUUGUAUCAAAACUUUGUUGAUUCUUAAUCAUCAUGCUCACACUUCGUCAUUCCUUGCAAAGACCCAUAAUGAAAGUUAAAUUGAAUUCCAUGAGAGAUCUAGUGAUACCAUACCUAUUGCAGCGAAACAUAAGCUCAUUCAGACGAUCAUAGUAAUUUUCGAGAGUUUCUAUAUCCUUUUGUCUGAAUUCCUUCAGUUCAACAAGACAUUGCUUCACAGAGUUGAUCUUCGUCUUUUCGCUACCUUGAUACUUUUCUUUUAGAGUAUUCCUGAUGUCUUUGGUUGUUUUACAACUAUGAAUGUAAUUGUAAACCACAGGAGGUAGAGCACCUCUUAGUUCCCUCAUGCAUCUCUUUUCAUUAUUCUUCAUUCGUUUUCGUUGUUCUUCAACAUCAGUAGAUGUAGUGGAUGAUCCAAUUUGUUGAACAUUAGCAAGAGCUUGUACUGUUCCAUCGAUACAAUUCCAAAGUUCUUCAUCAAUUCCAUUUAAGUAAUCUUCCAUUCUAUCAGCCCACUGAUCAUAGUAUUCUGGAAUCAACAUCGGAAUUUUGGUUGAGGAACCAAGCAAGUGAGAGAAAGAAGUCAUUGUAUUCAUGUUGAAGUUCGCCAUUGAUGAACACAGAAAAUAUCUGAAAACUUGAAAACUUGAUGAAUUUCAGAAUUUGAUCAAAUGAAUUGAUCACAAAUCACGAAUCGAUUACUCGACUUAACAAUUCAAAUACAGAAUCAAUUCAAAUCUGAAGAUCAAAAGUGAUUUUCAAAACCAAAAAUGCGCGGAAAAUUUUGAGUAAAUUUUGCAACUCAAAAAGCAAAUGAUUCUUAUACGAUAAUCAGAUCUAAGCAGCUUGAAUCCUGCUCUGAUACCAAUUGAAGAGAAUUGUUAUCGAGAAUUGAGAAAAGAAAAGAUAGAUUUGAACGAUUGAAGAUGAAGAACACACAGAGUAAAUAUUAAUCAGAUCUCAUAUUGAUUAAGACUGAUUACAAAAUAAGCAGAAGAUAGAUUUGAGUUUCGACUUGGUGUUUUUCUACUUCUAGCCUUAGUCCCUAUUUAUAGGGAACUUACAAAAAAUAUACUAAGUCUAUACAUUUUCACUUCGCAUACAAAAUGACUUAGUAAAAUAACAUAAAAUGCGAAACAAUACAAUACACUAUUUUCGACUUUUUACAAUUUACAUCUACAACAGUACACUCCGUCACCUUUGAUCUCAAGUUUCUUGUCCAUUCCUCUCAAAGCUUCGCUUGACACGUUCUCGGGUUUGAGGGCUUCUAAUUGGGCCUCUCGGAUUUGCAUGGAUAGAUAAGGAUGGAUAGUCAUCGUCAGGGUCUUCACUUUUCGGCUUGAACUAUCCUUUCGGCUAAGGGCAUCUGCUACCACAUUGGCCUUACCGGGAUGGUAGCGGAUUUCACACUCAUAAUCGCUGAGUAGUUCUACCCAUCGCUGUUGCCUCAUGUUUAAGUCUUUCUGAUAAAAAAUGUGUUGCAGGCUCUUAUGGUCAGUGAAGAUUGUACACUUGGUUCCGUAGAGAUAAUAUCUCCAAAUCUUCAGUGCAAAGACUAUGGCUCCUAGUUCCAAGUCAUGAGUGGUAUAGUUGACCUUGUGUGCGUUCAGCUGUCUCGAGGCAUAUGUAAUCACCUUUCCUCUUUGCAUAAGCACACAGCCUAAGCCUUGGUUAGACGCAUCACAAUAAACAACGAAGUCCUCUAUUCCUUUAGGCAUGGACAAGACCGGUGCACUACACAAGGCUCGCUUUAAUGUUUGAAAUGCAUUUUCUUGCUUUUCACUCCAACAAAAAGGUACAUCUUUAUGUGUCAGAGUGGUUAGAGGUUUGGCAAUUCUGGAAAAAUUAUGGAUAAAUCUCCGGUAAUAGCCGACGCGACCCAAGAAUUGAUGAAUUUCUGUGGGUGUCUUCAGUGCCGACCAAUUCUCUAUCACUUUGAUCUUGGAUGGGUCCAUGUGAAUACCCUCUUCGCUUACCACGCGACCGAGGAAAGUUACCUUCCGAAUCCAUAAUUCACACUUGGAAAGUUUCGCAUACAGUUUUUUGGAUCUAAGGGUUUCCAACACUGACCUCAACUGUUGUUUGUGAUCUUCUUCGCUUCUGGAGUAGACAAGUAUGUCGUCAAUGAACACGAUGACGAACUUGCCUAAGAAGGGACAACACACCCGGUUCAUCAGGUCCAUGAACACUGCCGGUGCGUUGGUUAGACCGAAGGGCAUCAAUACAAAGUCGUAGUGUCGAUAUCGAGUCCUAAAAGUUGUUUUGGAAACAUCACUCUCAUGAACUCGCAGCUGAUGGUACUCUGACCUAAGGUCUAUCUUUUAGAAGUAGCUGGCUCCUUGAAGUUUGUCAAAGAGGUCAUCUAUUCGCGGAAGAGGAUAUCGGUUCUUGACAGUCAACUUAUUCAACUAACAGUAGUCGAUACACAUCCGGAAGGACCUAUCUUUCUCCUUCACAAAAAAAACCGGAGCUCCCUAGGGUAGGGAACUCGGUCUGAUGAACCCUUUACUGAGUAACUCGUUGAGUUGGCUAGAUAACUCCUGCAUUUAUGCUGGAGCUAGGCGAUAUGGAGACUUGGCUACGGGGGUAGCUCCAGGGAUUAGGUCAAUGUGAAAUUCGACUUGACGUUCAGGAGGAAUUCCCGGGAGCUCUUUGGGAAAGACAUCAGGAAAGUUGCAGACUUUGGGGAUGCUCGCGAGGUCUUUAACUUCCUGUUUCUCAUUGAUUACAUGGGCUAGGAAUGCUUGGCAUUCCUUUCGCAAGACUUUCUGAGAUUUGAUGCAGGAAAUGAUGCGAAGAUUGGAGUUGAGUUUAUCGCCAUAGAUUAUGAGAGUUUGACCCGCAAGGAGAUUGAGACGAAUGACUUUUUCGUAGCAAAGGAUAUCAGCAUGAUUGGGACUCAACCAAUCCAUGCCAAUGAUAACAUCAAAACUCUUUACGGAAACCGGCAUAAGAUCGAUGGGAAAUGAAUGAUCGUUCAAGGUAAGAGUACAACCUAUGAAUACAUCGCUAGUGCUCUCUUUCUCACCGUUAGCCAUCUCGACGGUAAACGUCCCGGUUAAUGGUUAAGGAUUAGGUUUAAGAUUAUGUUUGAACGAAUGACUAACAAAGAUUCUUUCAGAAAUCGAAUCAAAAAGAAUACUAGAAUAAGAUUUGUCGAGAAGGAACGUACCCGAAACAACGGUGGGAUCGGCGACUGGCUCCUCCCGUCCCAUGGCAAGGAUUCUCCCGGUAUUAUCAGCUAUUGUAACAACAGGAAAAUUCAGGUCAAAAUUUAAACUUUUAUAAAACCGUAAUUAAGUAUACUAAGUGGUAGAUAUCGUAACAAGGUUUUCAUACAUAUAAAGAACACAAAAAUCCGAGUUAUAACGAAGAAGUUAUGACCAUUCUAAGAUUUCCGACAAAAUCGGCAACACCGAUUAAACGAAAAACGCGAAGUUCCAAUACAAUAAUUUUUAGCCUUAAAUAUCUAAAUGAAAGUCGUAGAUAUCAUUAAACCGUGAACAUACAUAAAAAGAACGUCCAAAUCUGACUUCGUAUGAGCAGGUUAUGAUUUUUCUAAGUUACGAAUAUAACAGUAUACGGCUAAAAACUCGAAAUAGAGAUCGAGAGAUAUUUAGCCGACGCAAACUAAAUGAGAAUUGAAGGUCUCAACAAUAGAAGCGCAACGGUAAAAAGUCUGACGGAAACGGACGUCGGAUGAAGGAGUUAUGGAACUUUAACGGACUUUUCCUGUCCCGACGUAUUAAAAAUAUAAUAUUAAAAAUAAACUCAAAAUUUGCCGAUAAUUUUCAUACUGUUGUUUUGACUAUCUUAUGAAGUUAUUAUCAUGCAAAACACCUCACAACACAAAUUUACCCUCUUGGGGUACAAUAUGUUUUAUAAAUCGAAAUAUGUUUUAUUUAUACAUUUACAUGCAAAUACAUCAUAUCAAGGGUAACCAUCUUUACUAAAUCAUUUUAUGCAUUGAAAGAACUUAUGAUUUAUGCUUUGUCAAACAUUGUGAAAAAGGACAAUCUUUGCAUACAAAACUAUUACUUUAAUACAGACUUAGUUGAGAAUCCGUGAGACAUGUACACCUUCAAAUACUGCCUUUUACUAGAAGGUAUCGUACAAGUCCUGUCUAUAACUAGAGUCUCCCGUUCGGAGAACGUGUCAAAUGUGUAUAGAUCUAUACGGGAAGUUAUGAUCCUGCACUCUAACUAUUAGCUACAGUCCGUCCUUUGGGGUGACAGUUUGUCAUAACGCUACGACGCUUGAAGAACGUCGCUACAGGCAUAUUAUGUUUAGUAUGGUUGUAAAACUCACCGAAUAUACAAUUAUUAUGGUAUUAUGCUUUUAUGAACGAGUAGCUAUUAAAACUAUUCUUCAUCUAACAAGUGCGAUCUACAUAUAGCUUUAUUAAAUAAAACUAUGCCACACCUUUUAAGCACGUUGGUUGCUUGCAAUUUUCGGUCUUAGAGACUGCCAGUUAUGUUAGGAAAAUAAGGGUUUUUCCUGCAUCUAAAAACAAACAACUAAUAGAAAAAUAAGGGAUUUUCCUCGUGCAAUUAUUUACAACUUGUAACACGAACAUUCAUAUGCAUUUCAUACUUUUAUAAGAAAAUAAGGGUUUUUCUUGGAAAACACAACAAAUCAUAUCUCAACUAUUAGCGAAAAUAUGGGAUUUUCUGGAUCUAAUACAUUCAUUUCAACACAACGAAUCAUAACUCUUUUCAUUUGAAAAUAUCGCAUUUUCUGGAAAACAUACACGAACUUUCAAAUGGCGUACAUUUUCUCAAAACACUACUUAUGAACUCACCAACUUAAUUGUUGACACUUUCUCUUUGAAAUAACUUGUAUUCUCAGGGAACCGCUAAGCAGGUUUGGAAAUCAACUUUUGGGGAUUAAACGUGCUGACGUUAAUUACUUCUUUUGAAAGAUGUUUAUGUAUUUAUCUUUUGAACAUGUAACGAAUACAAUUAUGUAAACAUUUUGGAAACCUUAAUAUAUAUGGUGGUGUGUACUUUCCUUUCUAUGAACUGUUAUGAUACUGAAUAUGACGUCCUCCGCCCCCGAACGUUUCCGCCAUUCUGGUUUGGGGGUGUGACAGAUUGGUAUCAGAGCAUUGUUUAUAGUGGAUUAAGUAUAUCAAAACCAUUUUUGGUAUACAACUAUAAACACAACUGGGCAAAAACACUCUGAGUAAGAGUCAUACUUUUAAAAUUAAAUUUAUUUAUUUAGUUUUUGUAAAGUAGGCAUGCAUGCAUUUCAUAUUAAUAACAGGGUCAGUAUCAUAAUUAAAACAAUAUAAAAGUAUUAUAAAUAAGUUGUGCAGUGCAGGUAUGCCUUGGGACAUGUAAUUGGAACUGGGAAGAAUAUAGCCUGAUCAACUAUAUUUGUCCGAGAGCCGACAAACGUAUGCCAAGGAGUGUCUGCAAUGGAAAACAAAUUUAAAACUUAACAAAAGCAUAUCGUUAAAGAAUACUAAGGGAGUAUUCGAGUACCUACAACCAUUAAACUUAAGGGUAAAUUCCAUCUGCUUUAGCUUAUAGUAAAUUCUUAACCCUUUUCUCGUAUAGACUCAAUGGAUGGAUUCCAUCACCCCGGUGACCCCUACUACCCCAACCAAGGUAAUGGAGAAAGGAUAGAGAAUGAUCCUAAUGAAGGAAUGCAAGAAGAAUCAAACUCAGAUCCCGAGGACAGUAACCUAACCUUAACGGCUCCAAUUCAAAAUCCUAAUCCUCGAUCGGAAUUUCAUGGCUCGACGCCCCUUUGGGCNCCUCGAUCGGAAUUUCAUGGCUCCACGCCCCUUUGGGCAACUAACCUGAAUAAGUGGAGCCGUGAACAGGAUCAACCCCUUCCAUUCAACGGAGACCGAAGCUUCUACAAUCUAAGCGAGGGAGGCUCAGUAGACAGAGUCCUUCCUAUAUUGGUUCGUCGGAUUUCUCGCAUUGGUGAAGAAGGACGGACGACCAUCCAUCGAACUGAGGAGAAUGAUGCGAACACUGGAGUCAACACAGUUCGCAUCCGAUUGUUAGGAUUAGCUCACGGGAGAAUCGUAAAUCGAAAUGAAGCAUUGCAGAGAGAGCUAAAGGCAACUCAAACCGAAGUGAUAGAACUUCGGGCACGCAAGGCAAGACAUGAACUACGUAUGCUCGAGAUGGAGUGUCAGUUGGCAGAAUCUUAGGCCCAUAUAGCCAGCUCGCGUAACAAAUAAUACCCGUCUGACUUCCAAAAUUUUGUCAUAGCAUAAGACCUCGGAUAAAGUCCUUACUUUUCUUAACCUUGUAAUCAGAGACCUUUAGAUAGGUCAAAUUUUCCUAACUACAAAAUGUAACGCACCACGUUUUAUAAUAUAUAUGAUGUAUUUCCUUUCUUAAACCCUUUGCAUUCCCCUCCAAUUCAUGAGUUUAUCUACUCUCAUUAUGAGUCGAACACAAAACCCUAUUCAAGGGUAAACCAAACUUCUGAUAUAACGAAUCACUAAUGCGCGACUUUCGAAUCAUUAAAACUUAUAGUUUUUCUUGUUAUUUCCUUAUCAGAACAAUGUGUCCUUGUAGAUCAGCAUGUAGAAACGCAACCCCAUCACCUCCCCAAUAUGACCCCAACAUAGUGCAAUCUGCUAUCACUGCAGCAGUAACAGCUGCACUGUCUCAAGCAAACUUUAGCGGCGCAGCAAGGACCGGAAAUAAUCAACUUACCAACGCAACCCCAUUCCUACGAUUGGACACCGCCACUUUGCAAGCUACAGUUAUAGCCACAGUGGCAGCCAUUAUAGCAUAUAAUAACUCUGUCAACUCAAGCAGGGAAGGAAACGAUAUCAAAAAUCCUAAUCAAAGAAACAAUUUAAGUCACCUACCAGUAGCUACCUAUAAGAAUACCACAAGGUGCGAACACAAGAACAUGAAACGAAAACCAUGGAGCGAGUGGGCAGGCAAAUCAACUCAAAGAAACGCCAAAAAGCAAUCAACAAACCAUACCCCUACACCCAAAAGGUCGUACAAUGGCAACCAGCCUAAGUGCAACCAAUGCAACUUUCAUCAUCACGGACCCUGCCGUGAAAUGCAUUGCGUUAGGUGCAAUCGAAAGGGACACACCGUCUGCUACUGUAGAGACCUAGCCCAACCAACUGCUCCAGCCACAAAUGUAGGAGUAGAUCGUGCUUGUUAUGAGUGUGGAGUAACAACACACUUCCGAAUGGACUGCCCGGAGUCAAACAUCAUGAAUGCUGGUGGAGGAGGCCGAGUAUUCGCAAUGGGCCAAGGGGAGGCUAUUGCAGACCCCACGGUUAUUCUGGUUACAUUUCUCCUCGAUAAUUUAUUUACAUACAUAUUCCAUAUGAUAGCUGGAAUGCAGAGGAGUUCCGUGAGUCACAAUUUUAAAAAUCUACUCGAACAAACACCCCAAUCAUUAAACAAAACUUUCAUAGUAGUAAUAAUAGAGAUAGACUAAAAAGCACUGAAAACACAUACGUAAAAUGCACUAUCCCACUAACGAACGUCUUACAAUGAGAAGUACCGACAUCGGCAUUCGACGUGGAUUGGUGUGGCCCUACCCAUACCAGUUCCAUGUGUUAUAAAAGACCCUUUCACUUUAACCAUCGACUAACGAAACCCGAUCGAUUUAUAACGACAAACCCGACACAAACCCCAAUUGGUUUCUAGUUUCAAAACCUCGAGGUACUCAUAUGAGGAAUCUUUACAACCUUCCCGUAGUAUCCCCCAACAUAUCAUUUAGAAAUACCACGCAUACAACAAGUCAAAUCCAAGCUCAGAAACUAGGAGGGAAUUCAACCAUUAGCUGCAAAACGUAGCUUCCCUAAUUCAUCGAGUGAAUAUGCUAACAUUUAGAAGAACAUAAGUAAAUAAACCCAAAACCACAUGAUCCCGAUCAGUCAAAGUGAUAGACGGGGUAAUGAAGGUCCGCGGAAACACUCACAUUAGGUUCUAGAUUCAUAAAGGAACAAAAGGAACAAAUGGACCAGAAGCAAUCAUGCCUGCACGCAAGAGUUGGAGUCCCAGUCAAUAUGCGAAUUUCGGGACGAAAUUCUCUCUAACGGGGGGAUUAUGUAACAACUGCAAAAUUCAGGUCAAAUUUUAAACUUUUAUAAAACCGUAAUUAAGUAUACUAAGUGGUAGAUAUCGUAACAAGGUUUUCAUACAUAUAAAGAACACAAAAAUCCGAGUUAUAACGAAGAAGUUAUGACCAUUCUAAGAUUUCUGACAAAACCGACAACACUGAUUAAAUGAAAAACGGGAAGUUCCAAUACAAUACUUUUUAGCCUUAAAUAUCUAAAUGAAAGUCGUACAUAUCAUUAAACCGUGAACAUACAUAAAAAGAACGUCAAAAUAUGACUUCGUAUGAGGAAGUUAUGAUUUUUCUAAGUUACGAAUAUAACAGUACACGGCUAAACACUCGAAAUAGAGAUCGAGAGACAUUUAGCCGACGCAAACUAAAUGAGAAUUGAAGGUCUCAACAAUAGAAGCGCAACGGUAAAAGUCUGACGGAAACGGACGUCGGAUGAAAGAGUUAUCGAACUUUAACGGACUUUUCCUGUCCCGACGUAUUAAAAAUAUAAUAUUAAAAAUAAACUCAAAAUUUGCCGACGGAGUCUAAAGGAAAGUUGUAGAUCGUAGUCUCAUGUUCGCGUGGAUAUAAAGAACAUCGAAAACGGAGUUCGUAUGACGAAGAUAUGAAUUUUCGAAGUUUGCUAAAAAAUAAAAAUAUAAAUUAAAUUAAAAAUCCGGUAUUAUCCGAAGGAGGAGUCAUCGGACCAAUCCGGGUUACGCCCAGCGUACCCUCGUACGCCCAGCGUACUCGGAUGAUAGGCUCCUGAUUGCCCACGCCGCUUCGAUGCUUCAUCCGAGGAUGCGGUAAGCCAUGACGUUGCGUACGCCCAGCGUACCCUCGCUAGUACGCCCAGCGUACGCGAGGCCUUCAGCCCCUAUAAAAGGGAUGCGAGGGUGCCAACCAUUUUUGCUAAUUUCCUUCCUUUCUCGCACCGAAGCUCUGUGUUUCAACCAAUCAGAACCAUCCUGAAGCCCCGGCUCCCAUACUCAAGCCCCGAAGAAAGUUUCACACUCCCGAGAUUCUCGAGAAUCCCAAGAAAAUCCGCUUUCUCGGGUGGAAGUUCUGCUCGGUUUUCGUCUCGCUUUCUUCAAUCUAUCAAGUGAGUUCAUACCCCUACAACCACACUUUAAAUGCUUUUUAAAUGCUUUUUACACACUUUUAACGGGGAAUACAAAUUAAAACACGACCUAAAUCGUGUGAAACAUCGAUCUUUUGCUAUACUUUUCAUAAUGUUGUUUUAACUAUCUUAUGAAGAUAUCAUCAUGCAGAACACCUCACAACACAACUUUACCCUCUUGGGGUACAAUAUGUUUUAUAAAUAGAAAUAUGUUUUAUCUAUACAUUUACAUACAAAUACAUCAUUUCAAGGGUCACCAUCUUUACUAAAUAAUUUUAUGCAUUCAAGGAACUUAUGAUUUAUGCUUUGUCAAACAUUGUGAAAAAGGAUAAUCUUUGCAUACAAAACUGUUACUUUAAUACAGACGUAGUUGAGAAUCUGUGAGACAUGUACAUCUUCAAAUACUGCCUGUUGCUAGAAGGUAUCGCUACAAGUCAUGUCUAUAACCAGAGUCUCCCAUUCGGAGAACGUGUCAAAUGUGUAUAGAUCUAUACGGAAACUCAUGAUCUCGCGCCCUGACUGUUAGCUACAGUCCGUCCUUUGGGGUGACAGUUUGUCAUAACGCUACGACGCCUGAAGAACGUCGCUACAGACAUAUUAUGUUUAGUAUGGUUAUAAAACUCACCGGAUAUACGAUUAUUACGGUAUUAUGCUUUUAUGAACGAGUAGCUAUUAAAACUACUCUUCAUCUAACAAGUGCGAUCUACGUAUAACUUUAUUAAAUAAAACUAUGCCACACCUUUUAAGCACGUCGGUUGCUUGCGAUUUUCGGUCAUAGAGACUGCCAGUUAUGUUAGGAAAAUAAGGGUUUUUCCUGCAUCUAAAAACAAACAACUAAUAGGAAAAUAAGGGUUUUUCCUGGUGCAAUUAUUUACAACUUGUAACAUGAACAUUCAUAUGCAUUUCAUACUUUUAUAAGAAAAUAAGGGUUUUUUCUUGGAAAACACAACAAAUCAUAUCUCAGCUAUUAGGGAAAAUAUGAGAUUUUCUGGAUCUAAUACAUUCAUUUCAACACAACGAAUCAUAACUCUUUUCAUUUGAAAAUACCGCGUUUUCUGGAAAACAUACACGAACUUUCGAAUGGCGUACAUUUUCUCAAAACACUACUUAUGAACUCACCAACUUAAUUGCUGACACUUUCUCUUUGAAAUAACUUGUAUUCUCGGGGAACCGCUAAGCAGGUUUGGAAAUCAACUUUUGGGGAUUAAACGUGCUGACGUUAAUUACUUGUUUUGAAAGAUGUUUAUGUAUUUAUCUUUUGAACAUGUAACGAAUACAAUUAUGUAAACAUUUUGUAAACCUUAAUAUAUAUGGUGGUGUGUAUUUUCCUUUCUAUGAACUGUUAUGAUACUGAAUAUGACGUCCUCCACCCCUGAAUGUGACAACUAUCAUCUUUUUGGGGCAGUUCCUCUUGAAAUGCCCGACUUCUCCACAAUUGUAGCAGGCUUGACCAACACCUGCUCCAGAAGAUUGAUUUGCGGAUUGCAUUGGUGCUUUGUAGAAUCGGACCGUCUGCCCCUUUUUACCAAAAUUGGUGCAUGACAGCUCAUGACAGGGGCCGGGGUUAUGGUGGAAUUUACACUUUUCACACUGGGGAAGGUUACCAGCAUACGUACUAGUAGGUGUUUGAGCUGUAGAUCCCACAACAGAAGCAGCAACAACGGGGGUAGUAGCAGCAUGGACUGCUACUGUCUUUUGUUUCUUUGAAGAUCCUUGAGAAGGCUAACUUUUCUUUUUCUUCCAAAACCUCCUUUUCUCACCACUCCUCUUGGUCGGUUCAGGAAUGGUGGUUGUUUCCUCAACAUCAUCACUGUGGUCGACUAGGGUUUGGGCUAAAUUUUUGGCACUAUCAUAUGUAUCCGGCCUCGCAGAAAAGAAAUUUCCUUUGGUCGGUUGGGUCAGCCCCCAAAUAGAUCUCUCUAUCUUCUUACUCUCCGGGGUAACCAAUCCUGGACAGAGUAGUGCCAAGUCAUCAAAUCUCGAAGUGUAUGCGGCAAUAUCGAAACCCUUCAUCUUCAGGUUCCAGAGCUCGUGCUCUAACUUCUGUAUUUCGCCCCGAGGGCAGUACUCAGCUAGAAGAAGUUCCUUCAUGGCCUCCAACCCAUAGCAUUGGCUACAGGUAGGGUCACGGAUUUGACUCGGCCGUUCCACCAACUCAGGGCUUUAUCAAUAAAGGUACAAGCUGCGAAUUUUACUUUGUCAGAUUCCGAACAGGCACAGAUUUCGAAGAUAGAUUCUAUUUUUUCGAACCAUCGAGUGAGGGAAAUGACACCUCCAGUGCCAUCAAAGAGCGUGGGUUUUGCAUUCAUGAAAUCUUUAUAUGAACUCUCCUUUCAGUGUCCCUGGCUACCUUCUUGGUUUUGAGGCUGGGGACCACCUCCUGAACCACCGGGGUUCAUUUGUGACAUGGCGGUUGUCACUGCGGCAUUAACAGCUGUCUGAAGCGUUACAAGAUCAAUUUGAGGAGGAGGUGGUGGCGGAGGAGGAUUAUUGUUCUUUGAGUUGGGUCUCUUUCUUGGAGGCAUCUUGAUCUAAUAAGAUUAGGAAGGAGAGGAUGAUAAGUCCUCCGAAUUGAAUCAAGGGAUAUGACAGUUAUAUAUAUUUCGAAUAAGCGAUAAAAUAGGAAAGAGUUAUCAAAGCAAACAAUUUAUCGCUAGAGGAAUGUUCAAGGAGCAACGCCUGAAUGAGGAUUUCUACAAAGGAUUGGCUCGAGAAAUACUCCCAUAGUAUUUCAUGAUUCACCACAACCAUGGUUUAAUGUUUGGGGUAUUAAGGUAAGUUUUAGGCAUGCUGAACACCACAGUCACUCCCAAGCACAUGUUGGUCGUGUCUCGAAUGAAUAUAGUUGGCCUGGCUAUAUUGAUCCUAGACACGACUACAUAACUUCCCAGGUUUAACCGCAGUAUACAACACCCAUUUACUUAUGUUUUGUUCUACUUGUAGUUAUGGAUCUCGACGGUUAGGUAUACUUGUAUACUUUUGAAAAUACUUAUACUUUGAAGUAUACUUUUAGUUCAGAGCACUUGGGCCCCUUAGUGUUUAUACUCUUAUACCAUGUAAGGUUUGGUAUACUUAGUUCACUGUAAAAAUGGGCUCUGAUACCAAUCUGUCACACCCCGAAAACCCAAGGCAGAAACAUUUUCGGGGCGGACUCCACGUUGACUAUCAAAUCCAAUGUACAUAGUAAGCAAAGUAAACAACCAUUACAUUACAUAUAAAGAUUUUACAUUUGUUUUAAAGUAAAAAGUAUUACAAGUGUGAUAUAUAUAUAUAUAUAUAUAUAUAUAUANNNNNNNNNNNNNNNNNNNNNNNNNNNNNNNNNNNNNNNNNNNNNNNNNNNNNNNNNNNNNNNNNNNNNNNNNNNNNNNNNUAUAUAUAUAUAUAUAUAUAUAUAGGCAAAAGUAAGACGUGUCUUUUACGCACUCCGUCUUCUCCAAAAGGAUCAUCAGGUACCUGUCUAAUGAGGAUCUGAGAAUACAAGCAGUUUGAAAAUCAGCAUAAAGCUGGUGAGUUCAUAAGCAGUUUUGUUUUCUGAAAAUGUAUUUGUUUCCUUUCUGUUUUUUGAAAAAGUGAUACACCAAGAAAAUCCCAUAUUUUCUUAAGGUUGGUUACUAAUCCGAAAUGUAAUGUAAAAGAUGUAUACUGAAAACAUGGUUACUCUUGUGAAUUGUAAAGUUUAGUUAUCUGGUUUGUUACAUGAAUCUAGUUAUGUACAAAUGUUACCCCCAGGAAAAUCCCAUAUUUUCCUGAAAGUUGAUUACCAAUCUGUAAUGUGAAAGAUGUAUACUGAAAACCUGGUUGUCCUUGUGAAUUGUAUUAGUUUUAACACGUAUAUAAAACUAAUAUGUACAAAGUAAACCAGUUAAUGUAACCAUUAUUACUAAAUAGUAAAUCUCUGUUAUCCAAAUUGCGAGUUCCAUAACCAUACGAUAGACUAGAUAUGGCAAUAUGUAGUCCACAUCACCUUAUGACUUUCGUCACCCUUGUUCCUUUCGGUUUGGCUAUAGCUAGCAGCCAGGUGUGGGGUAGUCAGUCCCGUAUAGAUCUAUACACUCAAGUCACGCUCCCUAUCUAAGAGAUUCUGGUUACGGGUGCGGUCCUCCACUCGCGUAUCUCUGUGGAGUGUUCUCCGAGGGUGUGUCUCCAAUUUAUAGCGAUAACAAAUUUACUAGUAAUAACACAGAAAUAUCAAAUGACGAUCUGUAACAACCCGUUAUUUCCGGGCAUUAUAAACCGAGUCUUAUAACCCCUUUUGAAUGUAAUGGGAAUAUCAUCGAUAAAUGAAUUAUUCAAAAGCUCUGAUUUGGAGUACGCUAUGUAGUAGAUAUCGUCUUAAAGGUUCCAAAUAUAUAAAGAACACUAAAAUCUGAGUUAUGGCGAAGAAGCUAUGACCAUUCUAAGAUUUCUGUCAAAACCGACAACACCGAUCAAACGAAAAACGCAAAGUUUCAAUACGAUAACAUUUAGCCUUAGGUAUCUAAAUGAAAGUCAUAGAUAACAUUAAACCGUGAGCGUACACAAAAAGAACGUCCAAAUCUGACUUCGCAUGAGGAAGUUAUGAUUUUUCAAAGAAAUUCCUUAAAAAUGAUUAGUUAUAAAAUAAAUAAUAAAAAUAAUUUUGGAAUUUGCCAACGGAGUCUAAACGAAAGUUGUAGAUCGUAGUCUCACCUACGCGUGGAUAUAAAGACCAUCGAAAACGGAGUUCGUAUGAAGAAGAUAUGGAUUUUUGAAGUUUAUUAAAUAAAUUAAUUAUUUAUUUAAUUCAAAAUUCGGAUAUUAUCCGAAGAGGAGUCAGCGUCCUUCUCCGAAGUACGCGCUGCGUACUCCUGUACGCCCCGCGUAACCGAGAGGAUUGGCCUCGGAUCGUCCACGUCGCCAUAUCCGAGGAAGCCGACCCGUCCGACCCGUCCGACCCGACGUCCCAUCCGACCCGGCGUCCCAUCCGACCCACCUCCCCAGCAACCCGUCCCAUCCGACCCGAGAACCCAAGAACCCGUCCCAUCCGAACCGAGGCAGUCGAGGCUUCGGUCAUGCAUGACGUACGCGUACGCAGCGCGUACGAGCGUACGCCCCGCGUACCGAGGCAGACCUGCCUUCCUAUAAAUAGAAUGCGAGGGUUUCCAAAGAAAGGGUUCAUUUCUCUUCUCUCUCUCUCAGCAUUUCCUCGUUUUCCGUGUCCGUUCAAACCCGAAGCUCUGGUCUUUUUGGCUCAAGUCCCGAAGGCCGAUUCUACUCCCGAGAUUCCCGAGAAUCCCAAGAAAAAUCAGUUUCCCGAGACGAAACUCUGCUCGGUUUUCCACCUCACAAUCUUCAAACUAUCAAGUGAGUUCAUAUCCCCUUUGAACACUCUUUAAAUACAUUUUAAAUGUUUUAUACUCUUUUUGGGGAGGAAUACAAGUUAACACAUGACUAAAUUCGUGUGAAACAUUAACCUUUUGAUAUACUUUUCAUACUGUUGUUUUAACUAUCUUGUGAAGUUAUUAUGAUACAAAACCCCUCACAACACAGCUUUACCCUCUUUGGGAUAUAAUAUGUUUAUAAAUAGAAAUAUGUUUUAUUUAUACGUUUACAUACAAACACAUCAUAUCAAGGGUAACAUUCUUUACUAAGUCAUUUCAUGCAUUCAAAGAACUUAUGAUUAUGCUUUGUCAAACAUUGUGAAAGAGGUUAAACUUUGCAUACAAACUACUACCUUAUUACGGACUUAGUUGAGAAUCCAUGAGUCGUGUAUAUCUUCAAACGUUACUUUCUUUAUUAGAAAAUAAUGCUACAAGUCCUGUCUAUAACCAGAGUCUCCCGUUCGGAGAACGUGUCAAAUGUGUAUAGAUCUAUACGGGAAGUCAUGAUCCCGCGCCCUGACUGUUAGCUACAGUCCGUCUUUUGGGGUGACAGUUGUCAUAACGCUACGACGCCUGAAGAACGUCGCUACAGGCAUAUUAUGUUUAGUAUGGUUAUAAAACUCAUCGGAUAUACAAUUAUUAUGGUAUUAUGCUUUUAUGAACGAGUAGUCAUUAAAACUAUUCUUCAUCUAAUAAGUGCGAUCUUCGUAUAGCUUUACUAUGUAAAACUAUGACACAACUUACAAGCACGUCGCUUGCUUGCGAUUUUCGGUCUUAGAGACUGCCAGUUAUGUCAGGGAAAUAAGGGUUUUUCCUGUAUACAAACCAAACAACUAAUAGGAAAAUAAGGGAUUUUCUCGGUACAAUUAGUUGCAAUUUACAUCACGAACAUUCAUAUGCAUUGCAUACUUUUAUAAGAAAAUAAGGGUUUUUCUGGAAAACAUGCAAACACUUUCGAAUGGCAUACAUCUUCUCAAAACACUACUUAUGAACUCACCAACUUAAAUGUUGACACUUUUUCUUUGAAAUAACUUGUAUUCACAGGAAACCGCUAGCCAGGUAGCAACUACUUCUGAAGACUAACGCAUUGGCGUUAGUAACAUAUUUUGGAUCACCAUUUUAUAUUUGAUUUCUUUUGCAAACAUGUAACACCUACAAUCAUGUAAACUUUUCAAACAUAUUUAUAUUAUGGUGGUGUGUACUUUCCUUUCUAUGAACUGUUAUGAUACUGAAUAUGAUGUCCUCCGCCCCCGAACGAUUCCGCCGUUCAGGUUUGGGGGUGUGACAGAUUGGUAUCAGAGCUUCGUUUAUAGUGAAUUAAGUAUAUCAAAACCAUUUUUUUUUUACAACUAUAAACUCAACUGGGCAAAAACACUCUGAGAAGAGUCAUGCUUUUGAAAUUAAAUCUAUUUAGUUUUUGUAAGUAAGCAUGCAUUCAUUUAGUAAUAAAUAACAGUUCCACAUCGUACCAUAUUAGAAGUAUUAUUAAUGAGUUGUGCAGUACAGGUACGCCUUGGGACAUGUAAUCGGAACUGGGAAGGAUAUAGCCUGAUCAACUAUAUUUGUCCGAGAGCCGACUAACGUGUGCCGAGGGGUGUCUGCAGUGGACAACAAAUUUUAAAAACUUACCAAACCGUUAUUAGAAUCAAACACAAUAAUUUAAAUGCUAUAGGAGUAGUUGCUAUUUAAACUAACUUACAUGUUUUGCAUGUUCCGACUUUAUUCAAUUCUUAUGACCCUAUUUCUCGUACAGUCAAAUGGCUGGAUUUCACCACCCCAAUGACCCCUACUUUCCCAACCAAGGCAACGGAGGAUGGAUCGAAGAUGAUCCAGAAGAGGAUGAGGAACCCAUAGAAUUGGGUGAUGACUCCGGUACUGACUCAGAACCUGAAGUGAUCGAUCCACCACCCAUUCAACCUCCUGUCCAUGUGAGGAACUUCCAAGGACCCACUCCCGUCUGGGGAAGUCACCUACAUCAUUGGAGCCAACAACAAGGCAUACGCCCUCCCUACGGCAUGUGUCGGGACUUCUACGAUGUCCGCGGUGGCAGUUCGGCUGAUCGAGCACUCCCGGUAAUGGUUGGUAAGUUAGCCAAUCAGUCCUAUCAGUCCGGAGUACAAGCAAGCCGACUCCGGGAUAUCAACGUGGAAGUGCAGGUUCACACUUCCGAUAUCCGUAGGCUGGACAAGAUACAAGAUAAUGUCCAACUCCAGUCUGAGGCAUUUCAGGCACAGAUAAUUGCAGCCCUAGCCGAGUUAAGGGAGCAACAAGCCGCUUUUGAUCGACGCCUAAUGGAAUCGAAGCAAUCAGAUGCGGAGUCAAGCUCCAAGCGCAACCUACGUCGCAAGUAGUGCCUGCCAGGAUUUCAAAUUUUGUUAUAAAUUAGGACUUCGGAUAAGAAUUUCCUUUUCGUUAAAACUUUCUGUAAUCGGAGACCUUUAGAAAGGUCAAAAAGUUUUGUCUAAACUCGGAUGUAACACGACUAUAUGUUUUAUAUAUAUGGGGCAUACCCCCCUUCUCUGAUUUUAAAUAUGUGUAUUCCGUUCAACUCAUAAGUGCAUCCAUUCAAACGUUAUUAAUAAAUCAAGCUCAAAACCCAUUGUUGAUCAAACCAAAUUCUUAAUCUAUUUAAGGCAGUUAACUCAAUAUCAUUCAACUCACAACCACCAAAACUCAUAAUAUCUCAUUUUUUUUUUUGACAGAGCGAUGCCUCCUCGUAGAUCAGCACGUACCAACGCAACCCCACCACCACCUCCACCACUAACUUAUGAUCCGGCAAUGGUCCAGGCUGCUAUCACAGCAGCAGUAGCAGCAGCCCUCUCUCAAAUAAACUCCAAUGCCAAUGGAGGUACAGGAAGCAGCACGAAUCAUCCCAAUAGUGGCACCGGCCAGGGCCAUGUUAGAGAGUGUACUUACAAGGAGUUCUCCAACUCGAAGCCAAAGACUUUUAAUGGCAGUGGCGGAGUCAUUGCACUAAUGCAAUGGUUCGAAAAGACCGAAACGGUCUUCGAGAUCUGCUCGUGCCAAGAAACAAGCAAGGUUAAGUUCGCUGCUUGCACCUUCAUAGAUCGAGCCCUCACUUGGUGGAAAAGCCAUGUGAACUCAGUGACGCUCACUGUCGCUAACGCCAUGAGUUGGGAAGAACUGAAGGUACUACUACUGGAAGAAUACUGCCCAAGGGGUGAAGUGCAAAAGCUUGAGCAGGAACUCUGGAAUUUGAAAAUGGUCGGGUCUGACCUAGUCGCUUACACAGCUAGGUUCAACGAUCUCGCUGCUUUGUGCCCUACCAUGGUCAACCCAGAAUCAAAGAAGGUCGAAAGGUACAUUUGGGGGUUGUCACCCCAGAUUCAAGGGCAUGUCCUAGCCUCCAACCCUAUCACCUACAACAGCGCUAAACGCCUGGCGCAACGACUCAUCGAUCACGGAGCGAAACAGAGUACCAUCACAACAGCCGCAAAUCCACCUAGGGAGGCUCAGGGACAGAGUAGGCCUUGGAACAAGAGGAGGGGACAAAUCCUCCAGGAGAACCCCAAGAAACAACAAGUGAUAGCGACCCACGCUAUUACUGUACCUACCAACUCUGCCCCCACAAGUUCAUACAAUGGAAAGCUACCGAAAUGUAACCAGUGCAACUUCCACCAUCACGGUCUCUGUCAUGGCCUUCAAUGCACCAGGUGCAAUAAGAAGGGUCAUACAGCCCGCUAUUGCAAGGAGCCAACCCAACAAUCCGCCCCCACUGCUAAUACCGGAGUAAGCCGCGCUUGCUUUGAGUGCGGGAGCACAGGGCACUACCGCAAGGACUGCCCGAAGGCAAACAACAGGAAUACCGGCGGAAGAGGCCGAGUUUUCGCAAUGGGACAAGAUGAAGCCAUUGCGGACCCUACUGUUGUUACGGGUACGUUUCUUCUCGAUAACUCGUAUGCAUGCAUUUUGUUUGAUAGUGGAGCGGAAAGGAGUUUUGUGAGUCACGACUUUAAAAGCAUGCUAAAACCAAUACCACAAUCAUUAAGUGAACCGUUCAUAGUAGAAAUGGCCAACGGGAAAACUGAAGGCACUAAAGAGAUAUACUUAAACUGCACCCUAACUCUAAACGAUAAUCCCUUUCAAAUCAACCUCAUGCCAGUCUCGAUUAAGAGUUUCGAUGUCAUCAUUGGCAUGGAUUGGCUGAGUUCACAUCGUGCGGACAUUCUAUGUUACGAUAAGGCCGUUCGCCUUAAUCUGCCAACCGGCGAAACCUUCCUUGUCUUGGGCGACAAACCUAGUACCACUCUUAGAAUCAUCUCAAGUAUCCAAGCUCAGAAGCACUUACGAAAGGAGUGUCACGCAUUUCUUGCACAUGUUGUAGACGUGAAACGCGAAGUCCGGGACAUCAAGGAUGUGCCCGACGUAUGCGAUUUUCCCGAUGUGUUUCCCGAGGACCUUCCAGGGAUACCACCCGUAAGACAAGUCGAAUUCAGAAUCGAUCUGAUUCCCGGAGCUACCCCAGUAGCCAAAGCACCCUAUCGAUUAGCCCCGGCAGAGAUGCAGGAGCUAUCCAGUCAACUGAAUGAACUACUGGGAAAAGGAUUCAUCAGACCGAGCUUCUCACCAUGGGGAGCACCCGUGUUGUUUGUGAAAAAGAAAGAUGGAUCGUUCAGAAUGUGCAUCGACUACAGAGAACUCAACAAACUGACGGUCAAGAAUCGUUAUCCUCUACCGCGCAUAGAUGAUCUAUUCGACCAACUGCAAGGGGCGAACUAUUUUUCUAAGAUUGAUCUGAGGUCCGGGUAUCACCAGUUACGAGUGCUAGAGGAGGAUGUGCCGAAGACCGCCUUCCGAACUCGUUACGGACAUUACGAGUUCGUGGUGAUGCCAUUCGGAUUGACCAAUGCGCCCGCAGUCUUCAUGGAUCUGAUGAAUAGAGUAUGCCGACCUUACUUGGAUCAGUUCGUCAUCGUUUUCAUUGACGACAUCCUGAUCUACUCCCGAAGUAAGAAAGAGCAUGGCGAUCAUCUGCGACAAGUUCUAGGGAUAUUACGAAAAGAGAAACUUUAUGCGAAGUUCUCGAAAUGUGAAUUUUGGAUCCGAAGAGUCGAAUUCUUAGGACACGUGGUAAGCGAAGAGGGAAUCCACGUGGACCCAUCCAAAAUUAAGGCCAUUGAGAACUGGUCAGCACCGAAGACUCCUACAGAAAUUCGCCAAUUUCUAGGUCUCGCUGGCUACUACCGCAGGUUCAUUCAGAACUUCUCACGAAUAGCGAAGCCUCUUACAACCCUAACCCAGAAAGGUGUGGCCUUUGACUGGGAAGAGAAACAAGAAAGAGCGUUCCAAACGCUCAAACGAGCCUUGUGCACCGCACCAAUACUAUCCCUUCCCGAAGGAAUAGAAGACUUCGUAGUUUAUUGCGAUGCAUCAAACCAAGGACUCGGAUGUGUUCUGAUGCAGCGAGGUAAGGUCAUCGCCUACGCCUCGAGACAGUUGAAAACACAUGAGGUUAACUACACGACCCACGAUCUUGAGCUAGGAGCAGUAGUGUUUGCCCUGAAGAUCUGGAGACAUUACUUGUAUGGAACGAAGAGCACUAUCUUUACCGACCACAAGAGCUUACAACACAUUUUCGAUCAGAAGGAGCUCAACAUGAGACAACGGCGAUGGGUCGAGCUACUCAGUGAUUACGAAUGCGAUAUUCGCUAUCAUCCGGGAAAGGCAAACGUCGUAGCCGAUGCCCUUAGUCGAAAGGAGUACUCAGGCCGGAGAGUGAAGUCAUUAGCUAUGUCGAUCCAUUCGCACCUAUCAACGCAAGUCAAGGAAGCUCAAUUAGAGGCCUUGAAACCCGAAAACGUGGCAGGUGAGGCCCUUAGGGGAAUGGACAAGAACUUAGAAAUCAAGAGUGACGGAGCACGCUACCUCAUGAACCGGAUCUGGACACCAAAGUUUGGGGGAUUCAGAGAGGUAGUUAUGAGCGAGGCACACAGGACCCCAUACUCCGUACACCCAGGGUCAGACAAGAUGUAUCUAGAUCUCAAGCAACUCUACUGGUGGCCAAACAUGAAAGCGGAGAUCGCUACGUAUGUGGGCAAGUGUUUAACUUGCGCCAAAAUAAAAAUAGAACACCAAAAACCCUCAGGCCUACUCCAACAACCUGAAAUACCUGAGUGGAAAUGGGAGCAGAUUUCCAUGGACUUCAUAACCAAACUGCCCAAAACUCAGAGUGGCCAAGAUACUAUUUGGGUAAUCGUCGACAGAUUAACCAAGUCAGCCCAUUUCUUACCUAUCAAGGAAACCGAUAGGAUGGAAAAACUAUCAAGAACCUACAUCCGGGAGAUCGUACGACUUCAUGGAGUACCAAUGUCCAUCAUCUCAGAUAGAGACAGCAGGUUCACUUCCAGAUUUUGGCAAUCACUGCAAAAAUCCAUGGGAACAAGGUUGGACAUGAGUACAGCAUACCACCCUCAAACUGACGGACAGAGUGAGAGGACGAUCCAAACCUUGGAAGACAUGUUGCGAGCAUGUGUAAUCGACUUUGGCAAGGCAUGGGAUAUUCACUUGCCUUUGGUCGAGUUCUCUUAUAACAAUAGUUAUCAUACUAGUAUCAAGACCGCUCCGUUCGAAGCCCUUUACGGCCGUAAGUGCAGAUCACCCCUGUGCUGGACGGAAGUGGGCGACACCCAAUUGGCAAAAGGUCUAGUCACUAAAAGCACCCUUACUGGUCCAGAGAUCAUCAGAGAAACUACCGAAAAGAUCGUGCAAAUACGAGAACGACUGAAGUCCUCAAGGGAUAGGCAAAAGAGCUAUGCCGACAGGAGACGUAAACCCUUGGAAUUCCAGAUUGGCGACCGUGUGCUACUGAAGGUCUCACCCUGGAAAGGCGUGAUACGCUUUGGGAAGCGUGGAAAGCUAAAUCCCAGGUACAUUGGACCCUUCGAAAUCAUUUCGAGAGUUGGUCCAGUGGCCUACAAACUCCAACUUCCAAUCGAGCUUAACAAAGUGCAUCCAGUAUUCCACGUGUCGAACCUGAAAAAGUGUUUGUCCGACGAAACACUUGUAAUUCCACUCGAUGAAAUCGCGUUAAACGAAAAUCUCAACUUUGUGGAAGAACCCGUCGAGAUCAUGGAUAGGGAAGUUAAAAGGACCAAGCAGAGUCGCAUUCCAAUAGUAAAAGUUCGAUGGAAUGCUAAGAGAGGACCCGAAUUCACAUGGGAACGGGAAGACCAAAUGCUACAGAAGUAUCCGCAUCUCUUCCUCAGCCCCUAAAACUCUUACCUUGUAUUAAAUUUCGGGACGAAAUUCCGUUUAACGGGGGGAUGAUGUAACAACCCGUUAUCCCGGGCAUUAUAAACCGAGUCUUGUAACCCCUUUUGAAUGUAAUGGGAAUAUCAUCGAUAAAUGAAUUGUUCAAAAGCUCUGAUUUGGAGUACGCUAUGUAGUAGAUAUCGUCUUAAAGGUUCCAAAUAAAUAAAGAAACACUAAAAUCUGAGUUAUGGCGAAGAAGCUAUGACCAUUCUAAGAUUUCUGUCAAAACCGACAACACCGAUCAAACGAAAAACGCAAAGUUUCAAUACGAUAACAUUUAGCCUUAGGUAUCUAAAUGAAAGUCAUAGAUAACAUUAAACCGUGAGCGUACACAAAAAGAACGUCCAAAUCUGACUUCGCAUGAGGAAGUUAUGAUUUUUCAAAGAAAUUCCUUAAAAACGAUUAGUUAUAAAAUAAAUAAUAAAAAUAAUUUUGGAAUUUGCCAACGGAGUCUAAACGAAAGUUGUAGAUCGUAGUCUCACCUACGCGUGGAUAUAAAGACCAUCGAAAACGGAGUUCGUAUGAAGAAGAUAUGGAUUUUUGAAGUUUAUUAAAUAAAUUAAUUAUUUAUUUAAUUCAAAAUUCGGAUAUUAUCCGAAGAGGAGUCAGCGUCCUUCUCCGAAGUACGCGCUGCGUACUCCUGUACGCCCCGCGUAACCGAGAGGAUUGGCCUCGGAUCGUCCACGUCGCCAUAUCCGAGGAAUCCGACCCGUCCGACCCGUCCCAUCCGACCCGGCGUCCCAUCUGACCCACCUCCCUAGCAACCCGUCCCAUCCGACCCGAGAACCCAAGAACCCGUCCCAUCCGAACCGAGGCAGUCGAGGCUUCGGUCAUGCAUGACGUACGCGUACGCAGCGCGUACGAGCGUACGCCCCGCGUACCGAGGCAGACCUGCCUUCCUAUAAAUAGAAUGCGAGGGUUUCCAAAGAAAGGGUUCAUUUCUCUUCUCUCUCUCUCAGCAUUUCCUCGUUUUCCGUGUCCGUUCAAACCCGAAGCUCUGGUCUUUUUGGCUCAAGUCCCGAAGGCCGAUUCUACUCCCGAGAUUCCCGAGAAUCCCAAGAAAAAUCAGUUUCCCGAGACGAAACUCUGCUCGGUUUUCCACCUCACAAUCUUCAAACUAUCAAGUGAGUUCAUAUCCCCUUUGAACACUCUUUAAAUACAUUUUAAAUGUUUUAUACUCUUUUUGGGGAGGAAUACAAGUUAACACAUGACUAAAUUCGUGUGAAACAUUAACCUUUUGAUAUACUUUUCAUACUGUUGUUUUAACUAUCUUGUGAAGUUAUUAUGAUACAAAACCCCUCACAACACAGCUUUACCCUCUUUGGGAUAUAAUAUGUUUAUAAAUAGAAAUAUGUUUUAUUUAUACGUUUACAUACAAACACAUCAUAUCAAGGGUAACAUUCUUUACUAAGUCAUUUCAUGCAUUCAAAGAACUUAUGAUUAUGCUUUGUCAAACAUUGUGAAAGAGGUUAAACUUUGCAUACAAACUACUACCUUAUUACGGACUUAGUUGAGAAUCCAUGAGUCGUGUAUAUCUUCAAACGUUACUUUCUUUAUUAGAAAAUAAUGCUACAAGUCCUGUCUAUAACCAGAGUCUCCCGUUCGGAGAACGUGUCAAAUGUGUAUAGAUCUAUACGGGAAGUCAUGAUCCCGCGCCCUGACUGUUAGCUACAGUCCGUCUUUUGGGGUGACAGUUGUCAUAACGCUACGACGCCUGAAGAACGUCGCUACAGGCAUAUUAUGUUUAGUAUGGUUAUAAAACUCAUCGGAUAUACAAUUAUUAUGGUAUUAUGCUUUUAUGAACAAGUAGUCAUUAAAACUAUUCUUCAUUUAAUAAGGGCGAUUUUCGUAUAGCUUUACUAUGUAAAACUAUGACACGACUUACAAGCACGUCGCUUGCUUGCGAUUUUCGGUCUUAAAGACUGCCAGUUAUGUCAGGAAAAUAAGGGUUUUUCCUGUAUACAAACCAAACAACUAAUAGGAAAAUAAGGGAUUUUCUCGGUACAAUUAGUUGCAAUUUACAUCACGAACAUUCAUAUGCAUUUCAUACUUUUAUAGGAAAAUAAGGGUUUUUCUGGAAAACAUGCAAACACUUUCGAAUGGCAUACAUCUUCUCAAAACACCACUUAUGAACUCACCAACUUAAAUGUUGACACUUUUUCUUUGAAAUAACUUGUAUUCACAGGAAACCGCUAGCCAGGUAGCAACUACUUCUGAAGACUAAUGCACUGGCGUUAGUAACAUAUUUUGGAUCACCAUUUUAUAUUUGAUUUCUUUUGCAAACAUGUAACAUCUACAAUCAUGUAAACUUUUCAAACAUAUUUAUAUUAUGGUGGUGUGUACUUUCCUUUCUAUGAACUGUUAUGAUACUGAAUAUGACGUCCUCCGCCCCCGAACGAUUCCGCCGUUCUGGUUUGGGGGUGUGACACGAUCCUCCACUCGCGUAUCUCAGUGGAGUGUUACCGAGGACAAAAACAAUAUACUAAGUUUCAUGUUCAAAGUUCAAAUGUUAUGCUUUUAACUAUUAUAACGUGGAAACCAUUUGUGAAAAAUAUAAAGUACAACAUUUUAUAAUGUUUUUUACAAAUAAUAUGGUAAUGUGUUCUGCAAGUUCAUACUGUUAUCAAGUAUGAUUAUCAGUGUGAAAAGGAUAUGUAAUAUGAAACACAACACAUUUAAAAUAAGUUUUGAGUACAAGUAUUCCUUGUACUUUGCUUGUAUUCUCCCCCUGAAAACAGUGGAAAACAUUGAAAAAGGGUAGGGGUAUGAACUCUCCAGACGAGAAAAUGCGAUGGUUUAGAUGCUAAAUGUCGGUUCGGGGCUUAUUAACGUGCGAGGUUCCUAUGUAAUUUGAAAGGAUAUACAAAUAUAUCUAAUUAGAAAACACUUCAAAUUAAGUGUUUGGAGUGACCCGGGUGACAUCUACAGACGUAUAGUUCUUGGAUAACGUUUUUACUCUUCAAGAGUAAACUCCUCGUGGAGUUUUCGGCCCUAAGACCAACUCCACAUGAGUUCAUGGCCGUGAACUCAUGGAUGAGGGUUUUAUGGUGUCAAAUGGUCAAUUAACACUUGAGGGAUGAUGUUAGGUUUGGUUCUAGAGCAUUGGAAAGGGAUUAAACCACCAAAUGGACCACUUAAAGGAGUUUACGGCAGUUAGCUAGGGGUUUACGGCCGUAAGCUCCCCCAUAUCCAUUUCGUAUAUGAUUUGGUGAUGUAAGGUCAAUCACAUGUGAUUUAAACACGUUUUACCAAUAAAUGGGUGAAUUUAGGGCAUCAUUUGACAUGUGUUUAUGAGUUUACGGCCCAGGAACCCAUCCUUGGGGUGUUUACGACUGUAAGCUCCAAAAGGGAAGGAUUUUUUCAUGCUUAAGGCCCCUAAAUCGAUUGUGGUUGAUCCUAGAAUUUAAUCCAAGGCUAUUGGUGUGUUUAAGUGGCAUUUAAACACUUGAAAUUGAGUUUACUACCCUUGAAUAUGAGUUUACGGCCGAAGCAUGUUCUUGGGCAGUAAUCUCAAUUUUACUCUGCAAAAGUUAAGUUUAAGGUAUUCUACAUCCAUUCCAUUAAGCCAUCUAGCCAUAUCUAAGCUCCAAAGGUCGAUUGGAAGGGUCUUUGGGCUCCAAAACCCAUUUUAUAUGAGUUCACGGCCUAGGACUGUUCUAGGGCCGUAAACUCACGAUAAUGGUCCUAUUCCAUAAUUUGACCACGAAUUUGGAAGCUAGAGAGGUUGUACAACAUGUUAGGAAGGUUACCUUGAUGAAAUGGAGCUUUAAUUUGAUGAUUUUGGACCUUAAGUUUGGAUUGAGGAGAGAGGUUAGAGAGAGAGAGAGUAGUGAGAGAGUGCAAAAUCUUCAAAUGGAAGGUUAAUUCACUUUAAAUAUGUUCCAAGUUCGGGACACGGUGGAAUUCUACCCGAUACUGACGUCAGACGUGACUGUUGGUCGCACCCGAUUAAGUUGUCGUAACCCGGUAUGGUAAAUUCUAAAUAUUUUCUGGUUACUAAUAUGGGGUGAUAAUAUGAGUUCUAAACGCGUUAGGACACCCAUUAAGUCAUAACAGAAAUCCCACAUUUAUGACUUAACUUAAUGACGUAAACGGAAGUGAAAUUGAAAACGACGAAUGUAUUAACGAAAAGGGGUUACAAAUAACGGAAAGAAUUUCCGGUUGUCACAAUAUGAUAAAAGGUAUAAUUGAAUAUAUCAAAGUUGACUAAAUCAAAGGUAUGCCUCAUGAUUAUACACGUAUUAAUUGCUCAAAGCGAAUGGGUAGACUUCUACUCUUUAUGUAUACGAACAUGAUACCAAGAGAAGAAAAAUAAAAGAAAUAAAGUUAGACAAUGUAUAAUGUUAUUAUUAUGGGCGUGCGAGAUCUAAAUAAGAAGGAGAGCUAGAAAUCAAUUUCGGUGGAAAGAAAAAGAAAGGUAGCGGCGGCAACUAUUGCUAUUGUUAAAAUUAUAAGAACAAUACCUAUAUGUAGAUUUAAAACCAGGUUGAGAUAUAUUUGAAACUUCAUUAUUUGAUGUACAUUGAUGAUUAAAUAGACACGUGGGAGUUUUAACGUGUUUGCUAAGGAUUGCUAAAAAUUCAUAAGUUAUCUAUUAAGUUAAACUCCAUUUGUGAAAAAAGAAGAAACACUACAAAUGGUAAUUAAAAAUAUGAUAGUGUUGACAUCUUAGACUAGAGUACAACAAUGGUUAAAACGGACAAGGUAAAGACUUAACAUAUUUAGAUGAAUAAUUGUGCAUUUUCGAAAGUGCGUCAUUGGAAGGUUAAAAGUGAACAAUAAGUUUUCAAAUGCUAUAAAUUUUAAAAACUUUAUAGAUUAUAAAACUAUAUUGAAGCAAAGUACAUAAAUAAGGUAUGUUUUGAAAUACAAGCAUUAGAGAUGUCUUAUAAACAUGAUUGUAGUAGAAAUUUGCAUAAAUAUCAUGUUGGGUUUUGAGAAAACACAUUUAAGUAAAUUACAAUGCCUAAAUGAGAAAGCUGUUAAAAGUGUCAAAACAAAAGUGUUUUGAAGAUUCGAUGAAACUUUUUCACAUAAUAUGAACUUCAAUGUCAUAUGUUUAAGUUUUAUAGCAUAGAGUUUAAACACUUUUAUAGAAGAAAAUGUUUCUAAGUUUUUCGAAAACGUGUCAAAGUGGUAAGCAAAGAUUAAAAUGGUUUAUAUGCCCUUAAAAGCAAAAGAUAAAGACAACACCAACCAUAGUAUUAAAAAGCAUUACAAAUUUACAAUAGGUUUGAACAACUUUAAAAAAAAUUACAAUAUGAAUUGAAAUACAACACAUGCGCAUGCUCCUAAAAGUGAUGUGUCUCUACUUGCCCUUUACUAGAUGAUUCCUGAAAAGCAUGUAAAACGAGCGUCACUAUAAAAAUAGUUGGUGAGUACUCACAGAUUUAAAAAUAAUAUUAGUUUCAUGAAUUGAGCUCAAAUUUCUGAUAAUAGUUUCCAAAAUGAAAAUAUAUUCCAAAAAUGAGUAAAUAAGUUUGCAUAAACAGAGUUUGUUGUCAUCAUGAGAAAAGAAGUAUGUUGCCCAAAUGAGAUGUAAUGUUCAUAUUCUCAUGGAAAAUAAAGCUUCCGUAAAUCGAAAUAUAUUGCAAAUAUGAGUAAAUAAGUUUGCGUAAAUAAAUUUUGUUGUCAUCAUGAGAAAUGAAGUAUGUUGCCCAAAUGAGAUGUAACGUUCAUAUCUCAUGGGAAAUAAAGUUUCCAUAAAUAGAAAUAUAUUGCAAAUAUGAGUAAAUAAGUUUGCGUAAACAAAGUUUGUUGUCAUCAUGAGAAAUGAAGUAUGUUGCCUAAAUGAGAUGCAACAUUCAUAUUUUCAUGGGAAAUAAAGUUUGUUGCUAAAACGAGAUACAAGGUUCGUAUGUGCAUAAUGAUUAUACCAUGAGUUCACAACCCAAGCCUAAUGACCGAGGGUGAUCUCUUCUAUAUCUAUCGCUAACAUAGGGAAAUAUGGGAAAAUGCACUCAACAGAAUCGUGCGAGUGAGGAGUUCUCUACCUCCUAAUAGCGUUAUCCAUAAAAACCAUAGGCUCAAAUGAAUUAAUGAGUUGUAUGAACUGAUUCCAGGGAAUUAAACGCGAUAACGCCUCAUGAAUUAACAAUAGCACACACAUACAUAACAGCAUAUAGCAACCAAGUUUGAUACAAUUCAAAUUAAAUACAACGGACAUAAAUAGUUUAGGACAUGCUAUUUCACCCCAAAACAUAAAAACCGAAAAUAGUGGGAGUCUUGAAUACUCACAAUUUGGAAAAUAUGUUAACCAAGUUUGAUACGAGUCAAAAUAAAUACAACGAGCAUAAAUAGUUUACGACAUGCUUUUCCACCCCAAAACAUAAAAACCGAAAAUAGGGGGAGUCGUUAAUACUCACAAUGCAUUGAAAUGAUGCAAAUGGUGCCUUGAACUACGUUCCACUUGUACCACUACCGAUUCCUAAAAUAAUGGUAUCCGCUAGUGAAUCUCUAAUCGAAAUCUAACACUAGUAUACUUACUACUACAAUAGAAUUAUCUCAAUAUUGUGUAAAAAUUAAUAUUGAUAACUUACAAACAUAUUUCUAUGAAAAUUAAAUUUCAAUGAAUCAAUUGUUAUAUAACAAUUUAAGUGGAAAAUUCCCAUUAUUGAAAUGUUAAUAUUUAACAUUUUAAGAGGUGUUCCAAUGGUUAAAUAUUCAAAAACUAAAUCAUUUGGUUCAAAACUUUCCCAAACAUUGCAUUUCAGUUUUAAAAGUCAAAGACCUUAAGAUAAAUUUUCUUGAACUUUUGAUUUGUCUAAUUAUUUUUUACCAUUUAAUUCCUUGAAUAAUCAUAAAAUCAUGGAAAAUAAGUAAAUUAUCAUGAAAAAUUCUUACAAUUUUUGUGUAACUGUUUUACAGUGUAGAUAAUAUGGGAAAAAUAUCGAUAUUUCUUUUCAAAAAGUUAAACAGAUUUUUUUUUAUUUUUGUGUAUUUAUUCUAUAAAAAUAGAAAUAAAUGUAUAACUGUUUCAAAAAUUCACCACACUUUUUUUACAAGUGUUAUCACACAUACUUAAGCUGGGAAAAAUAUAAAAAUGGAUUUAUAAACUGUUUAACCCAAUUUUGUGAUUUUUAUGUAUUUAAGUGUAUUAAAUCUUGGGAAAAUAGAAGAAAAAUAGCAUACAAAAGAGACAAAUCAUCAACACUUUUAUGUAGCAUCAUAAUAUAUUAUAAGAGUUUCUUGUAAAUUUUCAUGAAGAUGAGUAAAACUAUUUUUCCUGCUUCUAAUCCAUUAUAAUCACAAAAAUCAUGGAAAAAUAGAUAUACAUUUUCAAAAAUUCCCAAAAUAUUUUUAUGAAUCUUAAACAUAAGGUAGGAGCCGCGGAAAAUAAGAAAUAAUAUGUUCACAUUCCCUAAAGUGGUUUUAUGAUUUAUUGGAGCUAAAUAAAAAGAAAAUUAAUAACCAUAUUAACAGUAACAAUAAUUGAUGAAACUUCAUGAGAGUUGUUUAUUAAUGUAAGGGAUCAUCCACAAAUACUUAUAGAAUUUAUUUACUAGUCUAAGUAUUUUAUAUGCUUUAACACUCUAUUUUCUUAUUAUAUUCAUGUAAAAAUAAAUAAAAUAUAUAUUGAGCUCAAAAUUUCCAGAAUGCAUCUUCAAACAAUUUAAGAACUAUAAAAAAUCUUUUUCUUAUUUUUGAUGUCGAAAACUAUGCCUAAUGGCUCAAACAAUUGUAGAGAAAACUUGGUUCUUGUGAUUGUGGUAAAGAUUAUUGAUGUUAGUUUGAGAAUUUUUGCAACAUGUUCCAAAGACUUUUGAAUCAUGAUAUUUUUGUACCUCAUAAUAAAUGAUGUUAAGUGCUCAAAUUUAUUUUUCAUAGAUUUUUAGUCAGGAAUAAGACCUUUGAACAUGCAAUACAAAACUAGUAUUCACAAAAAGGUGUUGUUUAAGCAAUAGUUUUGUAAAAAUUGAUAAAAAUAGAAAUAUUGAAAAUUUCCAUUGAGGGCAGAUGGGUUUGAAAACUAAUUCAAAAUAUUAUAUUUCUGAAAAAGAAUCUCGAAUUCUGGAUAAGAAAUGAGUGAGAUAGGGCAGUUUGAAAUCAGGUAAAGAAAUAUGGCAGAUUGCAUGCAUGAUGAUUGGUUAGAAAUCAUGAUAAACUCCUAUUUUAGUCAUGUUUCCAGAGAUCAAAAGAUUAAAUCUUAUCAAAAUGUAUACAUGCAUUUAUGAACAAGUUUUUUUUCUCAAAAACUCUUAACUUGAGUUUAAUGUUUUAAUCCUUAAAAUUGAUUUUUUCACUAAGAUCAUGAACAUGCAACUUCGUUUAUCAUACAUGCAUGGUGUUAAAACACAUCCAUCAUGUUCUAAAAACCAUUUUUACAAAAAUAAAACAAGUUUGAAGAAGAUGAAAAGUAGAAGUUGGUUUUUGAAGUAAAAUGCACAUGCAUGGCUUAAAUCAUUGGCUUAACAUAGGUUUGAUCUUAGAUUUUCACCAUUUCUAAUACAUGCAACAUGUUUUGGUGAGAAACUACAAGCAUUAAAAUCAAAUAUUGUUUACAAGCAAAAAUAAUGCCUUAGAACAUCAAGAUAAAAGUGAAAAAUGCUAAAAAUUUGGAGAAAAAAAAUUAGAGAGAAGGUAGAGAGAGUUUUCUAUAGAAAGAAAGAAGAGAGAUGUGUGUAUGUUGGAGAAUGAGAGUGGGAGAGGGAGAUAUGAGGAGGGAGAGAACGAAAUUUAGGGGAUAAUACCCCUUUCUAAUUCAUUUUCUUUUAUAAAUUUUAAUUUCUUUUAUAAAAUAUCUCAGUUUUUAUAUAAAAUCUGCACUAAAAUUAAAUUUUUAUUCAUAAAACCUUUAUUUUUUAUUUAUAAAUUACGGGUAAAUGUUAAUGAGUGAAAUUUUAUUUUCCUUGAAUGCGUUUUCUUAAUUUUAAUUAUUAUAAGAUCAUAUUAUGUGGUUCAUAACUAUUUUUAUAUAACUUUUAAGGUUAAAUUUCAUAAAUUUAGGUUUUUAAGGUAUUUAGGGUUUUUGAGAGUUUGUAAAUAUUUAGAUAUGAAAAUCAAUAGAAUCUUUGAGACUUCAAAUUAUCUUAUGUUAUUAUAACUCUUGUAUAGUUAUAAAUAAUGUUUGUAACUUGUUUUAUCGGUUUAUUCGCAUUCUAUGUAGUGGUUUCCACAUUCAAGUGAAAUUGAGGAAUCUAGUAUACUAGUCAUAGUUUUCAACUUUGACUUAAGUUUCUAUGAGACUUGGACCUAAUUUAUACCACUAUAUCAAGUGCAUGAUGUGUAUAUGGUUCAUGAAAAGGUGAUCGAGUCAAAGAGUGACCCGGAUAUGGAUAGUCCCUACAGUUAAGUAGUUAUAGAAUUCACAUAUCAAUGUGAAAUCUAAGUACAUUAUCCAUUGUUUCUAAUUGAUUCCAAGUUUCUAUUAGGUUAUAACUUACCUUCUAGUUACUAAGUAUAGUGAGUGUCAGGCCUAUACGUGCAACUAAGUUUCUCAAUUCUAGAACUGACUCGAAUUUUGACGGUUGUCACAGUCUCCCCCGGUUGAAAGAAUUUUUCCCGAAAUUCAAUUCGUGACGUAUUCUAUUAGAACUCAGCCAACUACAAUUGUAUUGUUGGAGAGGUUGUGACAUGAAUAGAUCUUUGAUUAUUUUGGGUUAAUUCCUUAAGGGAAGAGCCCAAUUCUUUAGCUAUAAUCAAAUUAGUGUUUCCUUAAUUCGAGUUCUACAGUCUAGAUUGUGGGAAAUUAGGAUCAUGGAAAUCAUGAUCCAACCAUGGAGACCUAGUAGAAAAAGGUCGUCUAGUUAGAUAUUAUAUGUCUUAAAAGAGCGCUAUAAGUUUUACUGAAGCACCAACUGUACUGAGCGUUAAAUCCGCAUUGAUCCUAAAGAUGAAUUCUAAAUUAGCACUAAGUGUAAAUUCGACGCCUAAUAAAGAAGAGAUUAGGAACAAUUUGUUCAAUUCCGGUUUGGCUACUACAUCAUGAAAAGAUAUAUUCCCAAAUAAGAAGGGGUAGCACGAAUGAAAGGGAAGCGAUCGAGGGAAAGUUCCUAAAAUACAUACUAAGGGUAGGAAAUGAAGUUUUGGUACAUCUCAGAUGUAAAGGUGUAACAUCCAAAAAUUAAAGCCCGAAAAUUGCAUUUUCAAAUCAACAAUUCCCUAAACAUUUUUACCAAAAUAUUGUCGAAUAAACAUCACAUCACAAAGUCAUAUUGUUGUGUCCAAAAACUAUAACGUCAAAAGUAAUAAAAUCAGAGUACAGUCCCAAAAACUCCUUGCGGAAAUCCAUGUGUGUGUGAUGCGCUGCUACACCGCCGGCUCCUUCCCCUUCGACGAAGAGGUACCUGAAACCAAAACCAAAACUGUAAGCACAAAGCUUAGUGAGUUCCCCCAUCAUACCACAUACCAUACAAUAUCGUCGGUAUCUUUCAACCGGUAGCCUUUAUCUGUAUAUUUCAACCGGUAACCAACAUCGGUAUCUUUCAACCGGUAACCAACAUUGGUAUCUUUCAACCGGUAUCCGUCAUCGGUAUAUUUCAACCGGUAACCUACAUCUGUAUCUUUCAACCGGUAUCCGUCAUCGGUAUCUUUCAACCGGUAACCCACAUCAGUAUCUUUCAACCGGUAUCCAUCAUGGGUAUCUUUCAACCGGUAUCUGGGGACUAUUUCACCCCCUACCACUAGCAUACUGUCUAUAGAUAUAAACGUACAGUCAGAUAUAUCUAGGUACUGACCUACCCUUGGGUCCUACGGACCACUGUUAGGAAAACUAAUCCCUUUUAUACACAUAACAUAUCAUGUAGAUAAAUCUCAUAACCAGAACAAGAUAAUUAUCAUAAAGACCAUUAUCUUCUAAGUACCCCUUUUUGGUGGGCCGGCAUUGUGGCCUGAGACCCACCCAUACUGGAAGGUAACUCACCUCAAUGUCAUGCAGUGUUUGAAUUAUCCUCGGCGCACAAGUCGACUCCCUUCGACUCCUCGAUCCCUACACGACAACCUUCAAGUCAACACACAACAAGUACAACCCUAAACAGGGUCAGUCCAAGUCUAGUCAAAUUCAACUUCAAGUUGAAUCGACUCGCCGAGUUGGUCCGUCAGCUUGUCGAGUCCCUCAACCUUUACUCGUCCUCAACCAUGACCUGACUCGUCGAGUUGGACCGUCAACUUGACGAGUUCAUCUCUCAUAUGAACAUCGCAUGAAACUCAUCCAACUUGCCGAGUUGAUGAACAACUCGUCGAGUUCCCCUUCAUCUGACGAACAAGUUAUGUCCUCGACUCUCCGAGUUCAAGAACAACACGCCGAGUUCAUCUUCAUCCUUAAGAAGAUUGCCUUGGACUCGCCGAGUGUCACACCCCAAAACCAAGAACGGCGGAAACGUUAUGGGGCGGAGGACGUCAUGUAAAGUAUCUCAACACAAUAUAACAGUAAAUAAGCAAACAACAUCAUCCAUUGCAUUAAAUAUAUAAUUUUAAUACAAGUGUGUUCUGUACAGUUAUAGACACCAAAAAGUAAAUUAAAAUAAUUAGAUGAGUCUUGAAUGCGCUCCAUCUUCUCAAAAGCAGGCCUCGGUACCUGUCUACUGUCGACCUGAGAAUACAAGUUAUUUUGAAAGAGUUUAUCAGCAUUAAGCUGGUGAGUUCAUAAGUAUUUUAGUGUCGGUGUUUGUUAUCAAAACGUUUGAACAUGGUUUUAUGUAUGAGUUUGUAAAAGGUAUGUAAAUUUUUGUAAGUGUUUGUAAAAGUUUGAAUCUCCUAGAAAAAACUAUAUUUUCUAUUAAAGUAGCCUUCUACCAAGGCGUGACUGUUUUAUAUGUUCAUUUGUUGUAAAAGUGUGUAAUUUCCCAAGUGUAACUAUCAUUAACCAAAUAUAGUUUCUACAUUAAUGUUUCAGUGAAAUAAUCACUAAAUAUAUGUAAAGGGUAAAUUAUUGUAGUACUGUAGUGUUGUAUUGUAGGAACUACUGCUGUACGGACUACCUUAAACCAGAUUUAUACUAAGGUAUCAUGUGAUUAAUUGUACCAUACUAUCGACUUGAUAAACAACGAAAAAUGUAGGUCAUAAAAAGAAAUGAUGUUUGGCACCCGCAAACCUGCAGGUCCGGCUGUAGCUAGCAGCAAGGUGUAGGAUAGUCAAUCCAGUAUAGAUCUAUACGCAAACUCACGCUCUCCCUUCAAGAGACUCUGGCUACAACACGGGCCAUGACAUUGAAGUCAUGCUCCCAUACGGAUCACAAUGGUUAAUGUAUUCAUGUAUAUGUAAUGUAAUCUUACUCGUUCUAGUAUCGUUGUAUAUGUUCUCUUUCUAGUAUAGUUGUAUAUGUUCUCCUUCUAGUAUAGUUGUAUAUGUUCUCUUUCUAGUAUAGUUGUAUAUGUUCUCAUUCUAGUAUAGGUUUAUAUGGUCUCUUUCUAGUAUAGUUGUAUAUGUUCUCUUUCUAGUAUAGUUGUAUAUGCUCUCUUUCUAGUAUAGUUGUAUAUGUUCUCUUAUUAAUAAGUAUUGACUCAUGAAUGAACUAACUCAUUGAUCUAGCAAUAGUAUAAGUAUGAUCUUGUGUUACCCCGAUGGUAACUUUCUAAUGAUGUAACUAGUACGUAUAAAUACGGAAGAACUUUUAUGACUAUAUAUGUACACAUGAUGUAUAAUUAAUAUUGAAACGACCUUCGGACGGCUACCCGAUAAUCUACCAGACCACAUCCAAAUCGAGGAAGAGGAAAUAGGGAGGACGGCCUUCCUAAGCCUUUUAAACAUUACUUAUAUAACUAUACAUCAGUAUAACAAAGGUUAAGUAUAAGCAUUUGAUAAGUAAAAGAGUUUGUGAAACAGUUUGAAGUAAAACAGUUUGAAUAGUAAUAAAAUCAUUGGUUUUGUAGUUAUUAAUCACAUGUGAUUGAUGUAAUAACUAUAAGUAUUUAACUUGUUUUUCCCCCUAUUAAAGCAUUUAAAACAUUUAAAAGUAUUUCAAAGGUUAGUUAAAGGGGUAUGAACUCACUUGUGGUGAGUGGAUUGGAUUGAAGUGUCGGGUACGGUGCUAGGUGACAUAUGAAGACUUGUACACACGCACGAGCCUAGUUAUCAUAUAAUGAACAUAUAUAUAACUAAUUACCCAAUGUAUAACUAAUAAAUUAAAUUGGGACACCCUAGAACAUGAAAACACUUUGUUUCAAGUGUUAAAGAUCACAAGGAUUGCAUCCGAGUGUUGGUAGGGCAAAACUAGUGUGUUUGGAGUCCAAGGGUAAACUCCCUUGGAGUUUACGGUUUUGAUGGUCAAGACCUAGGGAGUGUACGGCAGUAAACUCUAGUCUUAAUGUCCAAGUGUUGUGUUGUGGUUUAGCAAGCCUUUUGAAGCAAUUCUACUAAGUGGUUUGGCCUUUGGAAGGGACUAGGGCAACAAAACACCUCCUUUGAGGAGUUUAUGGCCUAAUGGCAUUUUCCUUUGGGUUUACUACCGUAAACCCUUAUGGAUAAGUGUAUUGCCAUGUUUUCAAGUCCCUAACACAAUUAGGUAAGUGUAUGUGCUAGUUUCUAAGCCUAAGGAAGGAAAAUAACCCAUUUAGACACACUUUAGGGUGUUUACGUUUUUGGGAGAUCCCCAAACCAUAAACACCUAUAAUUGUUGGAUUUUGGUGUUUUUCAAGGCUUAGAUACGUCAAAGGAAGGUUUAAUCAAUUCGUGGAAGGCUUAAACAUCAAACUAGGGCUUAGAUAAGGACUUAGGCACACUUUGGUGCACUUUAUGGUGUUUAUGGUCCAAGCAUCUCCUUGGACCGUGAACACCUAUAUCCUUGUGUUCUUGAAAUUUUUUCUUGAUAUUCAAAUGUAAUACUAGCUUAAAAUCACUCAAGGAUGAAAGCACUUAUUAUUAGAAGGCUUGAUUUGAGCUAAAAGGCCAAGAACACUUAGUGUGUGUUCUUGGUGUUUUGGAAAUCUAGUCAAAAUACAUAUAUGGUUGGAUGAUUAGAUGUAUGAACACUAGAUUAAGUGUUUUACUAACUUAAAAAGGUUAGAACACUUACAAGAUUGAAGAUUUGGAAUUAAAUCUUGGAUGGUAUUUGAGAGAGUAUUUGGAGUUAACUCUUUUGACAUUUUGGGGAGGAAACAAAAUAACUAGACUUUUUGGGGAGUAAACUCAUACAUCGGUAUGAGUUCACGGUUUUGGGUGAUUUCUCAACCCAAAACAUCAAAAGUUUGGUCGGGUGACUCUAAUACGCGAAGUGUUUGUGGUUUUUGAAAUUUAAAACCCGAGACGGCACUUUCUUUCACCCGUUCGUUUAAAAAUAAUAUUAAAAUAAUCAAAUGAACUUUAUAUUUCUUAAAAAUAAGAAAUAAUUACAUUAACUUAUGAUACGAAGUGGUUGACUUUUAGGGUUUGACCGAAUGGAAAUUUCGGGUUGUCACACCGAGUCUAUUCUAGCACUCGUCGAGUCCUAUGAACUCCAGGUCUAAAAUCACGUCCAAUACAUUGGGUAAAACAUUAUGUCCAAUUACAACCCUUCUAACACUCAACUGGGUUCCUUUGACCCUCAACGAAUAAGGUCUCAAAGCCUCGGACUCGUCGAGUCCCAAGAACGGACUCGCUGAGUCAGUCAUGUCCGCACUAUAAAUCCUUGAUUUCUAAUGUACAACCUUUGAUCAAAAGAUAGAUCCAAGCUUCUAUAAUCGAUCUAGCACGUAAAGUUACAAACAUUACGUUCUUGCAUGGGACUUUGAGCUCAAAAAUACAUAAAACAAGAUCUUAAGAUGCAUGGGGCCUUUCAUGGGUGCAAAAGUCACUCAAAUCUGCCUAGUGGCCCCUUAAACGAUGUGAUUCAGAAGCUUUAACCCCCAACCAUGUUUGUAAACAUGGUUGGCCACCAAAAAUGGCUUGUAAAAGCCCUAAAUCUCCCCAAAGAGGGAUCUAACAAAUUAAUGAGCACGGUUACAACUUUUUACCUCCAAUGAGCUAUAGAUGGUGCACAAGCUCGUGUUCCCUUGGUGUCUACUUGUUUCCUCAAGCUUUUCUCCUUCCUUCUUAAGACCACAAGCACCAUAAUCCACCAACAAGGCUUAGAUUGCUUCAAUAACGGCUAGGGUUUCAAUGAGAGGCGUUUUGGGAGCAUAAGGGACAAUAUGGGCGUCAUAUCAUUCCAUAAAUAGGGUGUAAACCCUCAGAUUAGGGUUUUUGUCCGAAUUAUACCUACUCGCCGAGUCCGGGACCCGAAUCGUCAUGUUCAUCACUUAAGUCUCACGUUUUGUCCCGCUUCUACUCGGCGAGUUGGUCCUUCAACUCGCCGAGUCCAAGGAAAAAAUGCAAAAUACAUAGAUAAAAUAAAAAGAAGAGUGUACCAAGAAUCAGGUGCUACAGAUCUUCCCCACUUAAUUUAGACUUCGUCCACGAAGUCUGAAAUAACUCCGGGUAGUGCUCCAUCAUCUCGUCCACUGACUCCCAAGUCCAUUCUGAGCGCUUCCGGUGCUGCCAUUGCACAAUCACAAGUUCCACUCUCUUGUUCCUCAUAUCUUUUGACUUCCGGUAGAGGAUCACCACAGGUCGCUCAAUAUAGUUCAGGCUGCCGUCGACCUGAAUAUCCUCCAAGGGCACAACUGCUGAGUCGUCGACCAGGCACUUUCGCAGCUGGGAAACGUGGAAAGUGUUGUGGAUCAAACUGAGUCCGGCUGGAAUAUCCAGCCUAAAUGCCACCUUGCCCACCCGGACUAUAACCCUAAACGGUCCAAUGUACCUGGGUCCCAACUUGCCCUGUUUCCUAAAUCGGUUAACGCCCUUCCAUGGCGACACCUUCAGGAGAACUAUAUCCUUGACCUCGAAUUCAAGGUCUGAUCGGCACUUAUCAGCAUAACUUUUCUGCCAACUCUGAGCAGUCUGAAGCCUACUUUGGACCUGCUGAAUCCUCUCUGUCGUCUUGAGCACUACUUCGGUGCUCCUCAUUACCCUCUGGCCAACCUCGCCCCAACAUAUCAGGGUCCUACACUUCCUCCCGUACAACAACUCGAAGGAAGGACUAUCGAUACUCGUAUGAUAACUAUUGUUAUAGGAGAACUCCACCAAAGGGAGGUAGGUAUCCCAACUACCUCCGAAGUCUAACAUGCAUGCUCGCAGCAUAUCCUCCAGAGUCUGGAUGGUCUGCUCGCUCUGACCAUCCGUCUGAGGGUGAAAGGCGGUGCUAAAAUGCAGACGAGUACCCAGCUCGUCGUGAAACUUUUUCCAAAACCUGCAAGUGAACCGCACAUCUCUGUCUGAAAUCACCAACACAGGCACCCCGUGCCGUGCCACCACCUCCGUGAUAUAGAUGUCGGCCAACUUCUCGGCCGAGAUGCUCUCCUAAAUCAGAAUAAAAUGAGCGCUCUUGGUCAAUCGAUCGAUGAUAACCCAAAUCGAAGCCACCCCUCGCGCGGUCCUGGGAAGCAUUGUGAUAAAAUCCAGUGUCAUGUCCUCCCAUUUCCAUAGCGGAAUGUCCAGCAACUGCAUCUUCCCAUGUGGCCUCUGGUGCUCGGCCUUGACCUUCCGCCAGGUCAAGCACCGCUCCACGUACCAUGCUAAAUCCUAUUUCAUGCAGGUCCACCAAUAGUCCAGGAGAAGAUCCCUAUACAUCUUCAUUGCCCCGGGAUGAAUGGAGAAUCAAGAUUUGUGCGCCUCCUCCAUCAGAACCUGGCGCACACCCCCGUGGUACGACACCCACACCCUACGGUGUAGUGUCAAUAACCCUCAGCUGUCAUAGUCGGAGGAGGAAACAUGCCCCACAAUCCGCUCACUCUUUUGAUGUUCCUCCUUCAUAGCCUCCUGCUGGGCCUCCCGAAUCAGCUCCAAAAGCGGAGUCACCACUGUUAUCCUCAGAUAGAUAUCCCUGAUCAGCACUGCCUUGCAGCUAAACAUAUCGGCCACUACAUUAGCCUUUCCCGGAUGGUAAAGGAUCUCGCAAUCGUAAUGUUUUACCACAUUAAGCCACCGACGCUGCCUCAUAUUCAGAUUUGGCUGGUCCAUGAGAUACCUCAGGCUCUUGUGGUCCGUGUAAAUCGUAUAACGAACCCCAUAUAGGUAAUGACGCCAAAUCUUGAGGGCAAACACAACGGUUCCAAGCUCCAAAUCAUGCGUUGGGUAAUUCGCCUCGUGAGGCUUCAGCUGCGUCGAAGCGUAAGCAAUGACAUGCCUUCUCUACAUGAAUACUGCGCCCAAACCUGAGAUGGACGCAUCACAGUAUACGAAGAAAUCCUCCAUGCCCUCUGGCAGGGCCAAGAUUGGCGCCUCGCACAACGUUCGCCUCAAUGUCUCGAAUGCAGCCUACUGCUCAGGCCCCCAACGAAAUACCAUGACCUUCCUCAUUAGCCCGGUCAGGGGUACGACUAUCUUGGAGAAAUCCUGGAUGAAUCUCCGAUAGUAGCCGGCUAACCCUAGGAAACUCCGAAUCUCAGAUGGAGACUUCGCAACCUCCCAUCCCAUCACGGCCUCCACCUUGGCCGGAUCUACUGAAAUCCCGUUCUGCUUGACAAGGUGCCCAAGAAAUUGCACCUCGCGCAACCAAAACUCACACCUGGAGAACUUAGCAUACAAGUUCUCCCUCCUCAAUCCUUGGGAGUGGGUAACGGUUCUUCACCGUUACCUUAUUCAAUUCCCGAUAAUCUAUACACAUCCGGUGCGACCUGUCCUUCUUCUUCACAAACAAAAUCGGGGCUCCCCAGGGUGAACAGCUUGGUCUAAUGAAUCUCUUGUCUAACAGCUCCUACAGCUGUGUAGAGAACUCCUGCAUCUCAGUAGGAACCAACCGAUACAAUGCCUUGACGAUUGGAGCCGCAACAGGGACCAAGUGGAUUCUGAAUUACAAGUGCCUCUCCCGAGGUACCCUGGGCAACUCCUCGGGGAAUUCGUCCUCAAACUCUCGUACUACGGGCACAUCGCCCACCGUCGCCCUACCCGCCUCCCGAGUAUCCAUAAUAUAGGCGACAUAACCUGUGCAACCCUGUCGAAGGUAGCGCCUAGCCCUCGCCGUUGAACAUAAAAUUGGUCCUUGUUGUGGCCUUUCGCCCUAAACCACCUGCUCUCCCCCACUGGGGGCCUAAUCCGCAGUGACUGUUGCGUGCAAUCGAUCACUGCCCCGUUGGGGCUCAGCCAGUCCAUACCAAUAAUGACCUUGUUCCCCUGCAAAAGUAUGGGAACCAAGUCCACCAGAUAACGUUCCUUAAACAACCUCAAAACAAAAUCCCAUUAGACCUCCGACGCUCGUACCGACCGGUCGUCCGCAAUCUAGACCUCUAGAGGGCAAUCCAACAUGCCUGAAGACUCCGAAAACUUCUUACUAAGUGCAAGAGAUACAAAUGAUCGAGUGGAACCCGAUUCAAACAACACCUGAACUGGGAUACCAUUCACAUGGAAUGAUCCUAAGCAAGGCACAUAAUAUAGCAAAAUCACAGCGACAUAACAUAAAAGCAUAAAAUAACAAAUCAUACCCGUCACCACAUCGGGUGCAGCGCGUGCCUCCUUAGUGGUCAGCUGAAAUGCUCGGCUCCUAACCACUAGAGCCUCCACCUUGGCCUUCCGGCCAUCCACAACCCGUGCUUUCGCUUAAGUCGACGCCACUGCCGGCGCCGCUACUGCUGUCAAUUUAGGGCAAUUGGCUUUUUUAUGGCCCUUCUGAUUCCAAUGAUAGAAGAUCAUGUCAGAUAUCUGAAUCGCAGAAGUAGAGGUAGUACAGUCUUUGCCAAAAUGUCCAACCUUUCCGCACUUAUAGUAGCCAGAACCUGGCCCAGUGCGACAAGCUCCCUCGUGUGACCGUCUGCAUUUCCCACAGCGGUCCCGCACUGACUGGCCUUUCGGCCAACCAUCGGAUCCCUUGGGCUUCUUCCCUGAAGCCCCCAUCAUCAUCCCCUCCGCUGCCUUCCUCUUCCGGAUGUGCUCCAGAUCAAUCUCCCUUUCCCUAGCCCUGGCAAUCAUGGAAUCUAGGGUAGGGCAAGCUGAGAAACUUACAUGCUCUCGGAUGUCAGCUCGUAGCAUGUCAUGGUAGCAGGUCCUCUUCAUGUCCUCAUCACCAGCAUACUGGGGCACCAACAAUGCCCUCUUCCGGAACUUGGCGGUGAUCUCCAACACAGUCUCCGUAGUCUGUCUCAUAUCCAAGAACUCCCUGACCAGCUGCUGAAUCUCCACAGCUGGCGCAAAAUCGACCAUGAAUCUGGUCACAAAGUUUGCCCAGGUCAUAGCCUCAACAGCCGAGGCUCCCAGAGAGUCACCAACCGACUCCCACCAAUCUUUGGCCCUGUCUCUCAAACACCCUGCAACGAAAUGGACCCUCGACCCUUCCUGGCAGAAGCUUGUCAGUUGCGCAAACUCGAUGUCUGCGAGCCAUCGCCUAGCAGCAAUGGGAUCCUUCACCCCAUGGAAAUCUGGCGCACCACUCCCUCUGAAGUCCUUAAAGCAGAGUGUGUGGCCCUGACUAGCUGGUCGUAAUGUCACUCCUGAACGUGCUGAGGUGUUCCUCCAUCAGCUCGAUGAUCCAUUCCUUGAUCGACCCGAAGAUAACCGGCAUCGCAUCAAGGAUACCCCUCGUGAUCUCAGACGCGAUGAAAUUGUGUAACCCAUCAUCAACAUGCUCGGAUCCUGCGCCCGAGCCCGAUCCUGACCAGCAUCCUGAACCUCCUGCUCCAUGUCGCACGACUGUUAGGGUCACAUAUACCUCUUAGAGGUCUCAUAUGCUUCCCAAGUUUCUAGGUUCCAUCUAGGCCCUCCUUGAUUCGAGUACGGGUCCUGUACUUUCAGUAGUACGGGCCCAUACUACCUUCCACAUCUACCCGUACUUUCCUCAAUGAUUUCUUCGACUUCGCCAAGUCCCUUUUACCGAUACCCUUUCCACUGUUCUCAUCCUAGGCUUCCCUAGGGCACUCUCCGACCUACUCUCUGCCAUCAGCUUCAGUAGGAGUACCCACCACCUCUUCCUAACUAGCUUCCGGAUAAUGUUACAUAUUCGUUCCUUAGUUACUUGAAGUUGGCCAGAACCCCCAUAGCACAAAGAAAGCAGCACUCGUGCAUUGAGUAGCCAAACUCGGCGUAACCUACACAGACCAUGCUACUGCUUGACUAAUCAGUCCUAGCAUACGGCUCAUACAAUAGGCACAUAAGACAUCCUUCCUAGAUCCUUAGCCCUAACUAGCAUGCAAGUCUCAGAAUCAUAUAUCAGGCACACAAGGCAUCUUCCUAGAUCCUUAGUCCUAUUCCAGCAUGUAGUUCUAUGAAUCAAACCAUAUAACAUAACAUAAUAAGUAUGGGUAUCUUGGGGAAGACUUACUUGAGCUUGGUCGGUCGCACGCAUCACACACUUCGUAUUUAAAAUUUCUCAAUUUAGAUUUAGAAACCAUUUCCCUUGAAAAAUCUUUUACUCCCUCGGGUUGAGUCUAGAUACCCCCGAGGGUGUGUCCGAAUCCCUCAAACCAGGGCUCUGAUACCAACUUGUAACAUCCAAAAAUUCAAGGUCGAAAAUUUCAUUUUCAAAUCAAGAAUUCCCUAAAAAUUUUUACCAAAAUAUUGUCGAAUAAACAUCACGUCACAAAGUCAUAUUGUUGUGUCUCAAAACUAUAACGUCAAGAGUAAUAAAAUCAUAGUACAGUCCCAAAAACUCCUUGCCGAAAUCCAUGUUUGUGUGUGAUGUGCUGCUACACCACCGACUCCUUUCCCUUCGACGAAGAUGUACCUGAAACCAAAACAAAAACUGUAAGCAGAAAGCUUAGUGAGUUCAAUCAUCAUACCAAAGACCAUACAAUAUCGUCGGUAUCUUUCAACCGGUAACCUUCAUCGAUAUCUUUCAACCAGUAACCAACAACGGUAUCUUUCAACCGGUAACCAACAUGAAUAUCAUUCAAUCGGUAUCCAUCAUCGGUAUCUUUCAACCGGUAACCCACAUCGGUAUCUUUCAACCGGUAUCCGCCAUCUCUAUCUUUCAACCGGUAACCUACAUCGGUAUCUUUCAACCGGUAUCCAUCAUUGUUAUCCUUCAACCGGUAUUUGGGGACUAUUUCACCCCCUACCACUAGCAUACUGUCUACAGAUAUAAACGUACAGUCAGGCAUAUACGGGUACUGACCUACCCUUGGGCCAUACGGACCACUGUUAGGGAAACUAAUCCCUACUAUACACAUAACAUAUCAUCCAGAUAAAUCUCAUAACCAACACAUAACCAGACCAAGAUAAUUAUCACAAAGACCAUUAUCUUCUAAGUACCCCUUUUUGGUAGGCCGACAUUGUGGCCUUAGACCCACCCCUACUGGAAGGUAACUCACCUCAAUGUCGUGCAGUGUUUGAAUUAUACUUGGUGCACAAGUCGACUCCCUUUGACUCCUAAAUCCCUACAUGAAAACCUUCAAGUCAACACACAGCAAGUACAACCCUAAACUGGGUCAGUCCAAGUGUAGCGAAAGUCAACUUCAAGUUGACCCGACUUGUCGAUUUGGGCUGUCAGCUCACCGAGUCCCUCAACCUUUACUCGUCCUCAUCCAUGACCUGACUCGUCGAGUUGGGCCGUCAACUCGACGAGUUCCUCUCUCGUAUGAACAUCGCAUGAAACUCAUCUGACUCGUCGAGUUCACCUUCAUCUGAUGAACAAGUUCUGUCCUCGACUCUCCGACUUGAUGAACAACUCGUCCUGUUCAUAUUCAUCCUUAAGAAGAUUGCCAUGGACUCGCCGAUUCUAUUCUAGCACCCGUCGAGUCCCAUGAACUCCAGGUCUAAAAUCACGUCCAAUACAUUGGGUAACUCUUUCUGUCUGAUUACAACCCUUCUAACACUCAACUGGGUUCCUUUGACCCUCAACGAAUUUGGUCUCAAAGCCUCGGACUCGUCGAGUCCCAAGAACGGACUCGUCGAGUCAGUCAUGUCUGCACUCUAAAUCCUUGAGUUCUAAUGUACAACCUUUGAUCAAAAGAUAGAUCCAAGCUUGUAUAAUCAAUCUAGCACGUAAAGCUACAAAAUUUACGUGCUUGCAUGGGACAUUGAGCUUAAAAAGACAUAAAACAAGCUCUAAAGAUGCAUGGGGCCUUUCAUGGAUGCAAAAGCCACUCAAUUAUGCCUACUGACCCCUUAAACGAUGUGAUUCAGAAGCUUUAACCCCCAACCAUGUUUGCAAACAUGGUUGGCCACCAAAAAUGGCUUGGAAAAGCCCUAAAUCUCCCCAAAGAUGGAUCUAACAAAUUAACGAGCAAGGUUACAACUUUUUACCUCCAAUUAGCUGUAGAAGGUGCACAAGCUCGGGUUCCCUUGGUCUCUACUUGCUUCCUCAAGCUUUUCUCCUUCCUUCUUAAGACCACAAGCACCAAAAUCCACCAACAAGGCUUAGAUUGCUUCAAUCAUGGCUAGGGUUUCAAUGAGAGGCGUUUUGGGAGCACAAGGGACAAUAUGUUCGUCAUAUCAUUAUUUAAAUAGGGUGCAAACCUUCGGAUUAGGGUUUUUGUCUGAACAGUACCUACUCGCUGAGUUCAUCACUUAAGUCCCGCGUCCCGUCCCGCUUCUACUCCGCGAGUUGGUCCUUCAACUUGCCGAGUCCAAAGCCAAAAUGCAAAAUACAUAGAUAAAAUAAAAAGAAGAGCAUACCAAGAACUAGGUGCUACAAAAGGCUAUUUAAUGUCGUCUACAAAAUAAAUUACGAAAUGAUUGAGGAUCUCUGUGGCUAUAAUUACUACUACGGUAACUCUUACAAUAAUAGAACUAUAUUCGAAGAGUAUAUAUAAUUACAGAGUCAUUGUAUCUAAUGAAGGUGUGGAAAGUUUAUGAUAUUUUAAAUCACAUUGUGUGGAUAGCAUAUUAACUGUUUAGAAGUGAUAAAAAUCUCACUGUUAUCAAAAUGUGUGUUUAGAAAUGACAAUUAAUCUCACUAUUAUCAAAAUGUGUGUGUAGAAAUGAUAACUAAUCUCACUAUUAUCAAAAUGUGUAAUAAUUCCAAGAUAAUGAAGAUACAUGUGUGGCGAUCAAACGAAGUAGUAAAAUAAUCUAAAGAUUAAUUAAGGUUAUAGGUUUAAGUCAUCAACAAGGGAAUUUAUACAUAAAUAUUUUGAUUACUCUGUAGAAAAAAUUGUCUAGUUGUUUAAAUCAAGACAAAUUCAAGCUUAUGAGUUAGAAAAUUUACGGAAACAAGGUUAAGAGUUUAGGAACUCACUGAAAAUUACAAAGUAGAAUGUUAUUUUAAGAAAGGUGUAAAAAUAUCGAUCAUUGAAAAUAGAGCGUUCUUAAUUUAGUGUUUCUACAAAAUCAUUCAUUUAGUGAGUAGAUAAUAGUAAAAUUCAUGACUUUUCAUGUAUUUAAAGAAAAGAUGAAACAUAAGAAAACAUAUCCUUUACUUAUAUUUUUCUGGAUAUAGAAAAAUGAUAACAACGAGGGUAUUCAUCUUGUGUAUUAAUUAUAAGGAAAAGUACAAUGAAACUCGCAUUUCAAAUCAAGUUUCCGAAUUAUGAAUGAAAGAGCAAAUGUAAAUAAGGAUCACUUGUUUAUAGUAGCUUUCAAAAUAUAACCAUGAUGUAUAUAAUGAAAGGAAUAAUUGAAUAUAUCAAAGUCGACUAAAUCAAAGGUAUGCCUCAUGACUAUACACGUAUUAAUCGCUCAAAACGAAAUGGUAGACUUCUAGUCUUUAUGUAUACGAACAUGAUACUAGGAAAAGAAAAAUAAACAGAAACAAAUUUAGACAAUGUAUAAUUUUACUAUUAUGUGCGUGCGAGAUCUAAAAUCAGAAGGAGAGCGAGAUUAUAAGAACAAUACCUAUAGGUAGAUUUAAAACUAGGUUGAGAUAUAUUUCAAACUUCAAUAUUUGAUGUAUAUUGAUGAUUAAAUAGACAAGUGGGAGUUUUAAUGUGUUUGCUAAGGAUUGCUAAAAAUUCAUAAGUUAUUUAUUAAGUUAAACUUCAUUUGUGAAAAAAGAAGAAGCACUACAAAUGGUAAUUAAAAAUCUGAUAGUAUUGCCCUUUUAGACUAGAGUCCAACAAUGGUUAAAAUGGAUAAGGUAAAGACUUAACAUAUUUAGAUGAAUAAUUGUGCAUUUUCAAAAGUGCGUCACUGGAAGUUUAAAAGUGAACACUAAGUUUUCAAAUGCUAUAAAUUUUAAAAACUUUAUAGAUUAUAAAACUAUAUUGAAGCAAAGUACAAAAAUAAGGUAUGUUUUGAAAUACAAGCAUUAUAGAUGUCUUAUAAACAUGUUUGAAGUAGAAAUUUGCAUAAAUAUCAUGUGGGGUUUCGAGAAAACACAAUAAAGUAAAUUACAAUGUCUAAAUGAGAAAGCUGUUAAAAGUGUCAAAACAAAAGUGUUUUGAAGAUUUGAUGAAACUUUUUCACAUAAUAUGAACUUCAAUGUCAUAUGUUUAAGUUUUAUAGCGUAGAGUUUAAACACUUUUAUGGUAGAAAACAUUUCUAUGUUUUUUGAAAACGUGUCAAAAUGGUAAGCAAGGAUUAAAAUGGUUUAUAUGCCCUUAAAAGCACAUCUAUCCGUUAAAAUAGAUUUGAAAUGAAAUUAAAAUAGCAAGGUUAAAACAAAUAUUGGUUAAAUUGAGUUUUGAAGAAAAGUGUUAAGUUAAAGUAAGUUGUCAAAUGAUUUUUAGCGAGAAUAUGGCUUACAUUGUUAGGAAAGAUCUAAUAAGUAGUAUGAAGUGGUAAUAAAAUAUUUUAUCGUUGAUAAACAAAACAAAAUGAAGCGAAAUAACUAUCGAUGGAAGAUUAUGAAGUAAGGAAUAAGUAUGUUAGUGUAGCUGAUCGUACCUAAAUACUAAGGCGAGUACCAAUGUCUUUUUCCCCAAGAUAAAGGAAAAGAAAAAUUAUUUGAAAAACGUUUUUUGGUGUCAACGCAGUUUACGACUUUUUAUAGAGGUCAAAGGGACAUCCUAUGUUAUGUUUUAAGCUCAAGGUGGAAACAACGUAGAGCUAAAUUGUAGCACACUAGAAAGGUCUCACAUAUAGGUUUAACCUCUGUGUCUCCUUGUGAUUCAAAUAUGGAAUGUCCGCUAGUGGUAUCCAAGUGAUUACUUAGCGGCGAAUCAUCUACCUCCUUACACGAUGCUCCAAUUCUCAUUCAUGUCGGUAUCGAAAUGGUUUUUCCUAGUUGUAACUCUAGUACGAAGACGAUGAAGAAGUAUUAAGGAAUAAUUGGUAUAUAUUUUGACUUAAGAUUAGUACUAGUGUAUAUCUAGCUACUAACCUUACAUCUAAACUCAAUAGCUACCGAGGAAUAUCCAUUCUCAAUACUAAGUGCAUUGCUCCUAGAGUG
rnacentral:lncRNA from 1 species